rnacentral:lncRNA from 1 species
UUUAAAUAUAUAACUCUUAUAUAUGUAAAAUAUAUGUUUAUUAUAAUUUUAAAUAAAUUUAAUCUAUAUAUAUAAAUUAUAAUAAUAAUAUAUAUAGUAUAUUAAUUAUUAUAUAUUUAUUAUAUAGCCGAAUUUUUGAUCCGGAAUUUUUAAUUGGUGAACGUAUAAUACCCGUAUAUAUUACGUAUCCGAAUAACUGUCGAAUCCAUUUUUUAGCCGUAUUUUUCAACGAAUUUAAAAAUUAAAAGACGAAUUUUAUCCGAAUUAUAUCUUUACUUAAUUUUUGCCGAAUCCGAAUUAACUAACUAUGCCUCCAGCCACUAAGAUUGAUUUAGCUGCGAUCGAUCUCAUCCGUUCAUCUGCUCGCUCCCAACGUGCUUAAUUAAUUAAUUGAUAUUUGAAGGGCAAAUAAGAAAAAUAUUUGGUAUAUGAAGGGUAUAUAAGAUAAGUGAGUUACGGUACGAGGGUAUAUUGGAAUGGGCAAAAUGAUAAUUUUUCAGAGAUAACAGCAGCUAACUGACGGAACUUAACUCCAGGGGUAUAUUAGAAAGACUUGGAACAUAAGAAGGGUAUUUUCAAUAUUAGCCUUCUAAGAGGGGUAAAUAAGAAAACCGGGAACUUUUCAGGGGUAUAUAGGCAAUUGCCCCAUAUAUAUAUAUAUAUAUAUAUAUAUAUAUGCUGGUCUAAUAUCGGUAGCACAGAGGCCUUUAUGCUACCAAGUUGUUUUCAAUGAUGCGGCAUUCAAAUCGACGAUCGGCUCCGUUAGACUUAAUAUAUAUAUACUAUUAAAAGUAUUUGGAAACUAAAUUUCAUAAUUUUUCGACAUUAUUUAGCUAGUGAUCAAAAUGUCUCAAAAUUGACAAUUUUAAUGGUAGAUGUGAUGCAUUUGUUAAUUUAACUGUGUAAAACAAUCCAAAUCUGAUGAAAAUUUUAUAGAAAAUUCUUUUCACUAUUUAGGAUAAGAUCAGUAUCUUUGAUAUUAAAUUCAAGUCUUUUAUCAUCAUUUUUUAUGAGAUUUUUAUUUUUAGCCGUUCAUUUUUAGACUACUCGUUUGAUAAGUAAAUGAAGCCGAAAAAUUAUGAAAUAUAGUUUCCAGAUACUUUCAAUAGUGUAGAUCAAGUUUAACGGAGCCGAUCAUCGAUUUAGAAGCUGCGUCAUUGAAAACAACUUGGUAGCACGGAGGCCUCCGUGCUACCGAUAGUAUACCAGACUAUCUCUCUUUCUCUCUGUCUCUCUCUCUCUCUCUCUCUCUCUCUAUAUNCUCUCUCUCUCUCUCUCUCUCUAUAUAUAUAUAUAUAGGUCGUGGCUACUAUACUAUUAUGAGUAUUGGAGCCCUCAUACUCAUAAGUUGUUUUCGAUGAUGGAGCUUCCGAAUCGACGAUCCACUUCGUCAAAUAUGAUCUAGAGUAUUUGAAACUUCUACUAGAAAAUAAAUUUCGUAAAUUUUCGAAAUCAUAAUAAAGUCCAUCAAGCGGGCAUAAAAUGAACGGUCAAAAUCGAACGACAUCCUAAAAAGGAUGGUCGAAUCCUUCAAUUUAAGAUCGGAGUUAUUGAUCUUUAUCUAGGUAGUGAAUAGAAUUUUCUAUCAAAAAUUCAACAAAUUCCGAUUCUUUUACACCGUUAAACUAGCAAGUAUCCCAUACUGGCCAUUAAAAAUUCUCAAAUUUGUGACCUCUUGAUCGUAAGGUAAAUGAUGUCAAAAAAUUAUAAAAUUUGAUUUUCUAGAAGUUUUAAAUGCUGUAAAUAACGUUUAAUGGUAUGGAUCGUCGAUUCAGAAGCUCUAUCAUCGAAAACGAUUUAUGAAUACGAGAGCGAUCGUACUCAUCAUAGUAUAGUAGCCGGACCAUAUAUAUAUAUAUAUAUAUAUAUAUAGUCCGGCUGGGAUACUAUCGAUAGCACCAUGGGUUUGGUGCUAUCGAGUUUUCCACCGUUAGAUUUAACCCUUUGAUUAUUUUUGCCCGUUAGAUUAUACUAUUCAACCAACUACCCACUCAAUCCUAGGGAGCCCACAUCAUCCUAAUCGCUUAUUUCUCAAUCCAAUGGAUAAAAAAUUGAUAGCAUUCCAACCUAGCUAUAUAUAUAUAUAUAUAUAUAUAGAGCAGGGCUGCUGUGCUCUCAGGAGCACGGAGGCCUCCGUGCUCCUGAGCCGUUUUCGAUGAUGGAAUUUUUGAAUCAACGAUCGGCUCCGUUAGACUUGAUCUAGCAUAUUUGAAGUUUCUAGAAAAUAAUUUUUGCGAUUUUUUGAUAUCAUUUACCUAGCGAUCGAAAGGAUUCAAAAUCCAUAAUUUUUAACGGUUGAUAUUUGCCGUUUUAUAAGUUUAACGGUGUUGAAGUAUUCAAGUCAGAUGAAAUUUUUGAUCAGAAAAUUCUUUAUCUUGUCGUACGAUAGUAUCAAUAAUUUUCUGAUCAAAAAUUUUAUCUGCUUUGAAUACUUCUUCACUUUUUAACUUAAAAACGGCAAAUAUCAACCUUUAAAAAUUAUGGAUUUUGAAUCCUUUCGAUCGCUAGGUAAAUGAUAUCAAAAAAUCGUAAAAAUUAUUUUCUAGAAACUUCAAAUGUGCUAGAUCAAGUCUAACGGAGCCGAUCGUUGAUUCAAAAAUUCCAUCAUCGAAAACGGCUUAGGAGCACGGAGGCCUCUGUGCUCCUGAGAGCAUAGCUGCCCUGCUCUAUAUAUAUAUAUAUAUAUAUAUAGCUAGGUUGGAAUGCUAUCAAUUUUUUAUCCAUUGGAUUGAGAAAUAAGCGAUUAGGAUGAUGUGGGCUCCCUAGGAUUGAGUGGGUAGUUGGUUGAAUAGUAUAAUCUAACGGGCAAAAAUAAUCAAAGGGUUAAAUCUAACGGUGGAAAACUCGAUAGCACCAAACCCAUGGUGCUAUCGAUAGUAUCCCAGCCGGACUAUAUAUAUAUAUAUAUAUAUAUAUAUAUAUAUAUAUAUAUAUGGUCCGGCUACUAUACUAUGAUGAGUACGAUCGCUCUCGUAUUCAUAAAUCGUUUUCGAUGAUAGAGCUUCUGAAUCGACGAUCCAUACCAUUAAACGUUAUUUACAGCAUUUAAAACUUCUAGAAAAUCAAAUUUUAUAAUUUUUUGACAUCAUUUACCUUACGAUCAAGAGGUCACAAAUUUGAGAAUUUUUAAUGGCCAGUAUGGGAUACUUGCUAGUUUAACGGUGUAAAAGAAUCGGAAUUUGUUGAAUUUUUGAUAGAAAAUUCUAUUCACUACCUAGAUAAAGAUCAAUAACUCCGAUCUUAAAUUGAAGGAUCCGAUCAUCCAUUUUUAGGACGUCGUUCGAUUUUGACCGUUCAUUUUAUGCCCGCUUGAUGGACUUUAUUAUGAUUUCGAAAAUUUACGAAAUUUAUUUUCUAGUAGAAGUUUCAAAUACUCUAGAUCAUAUUUGACGAAGUGGAUCGUCGAUUCGGAAGCUCCAUCAUCGAAAACAACUUAUGAGUAUGAGGGCUCCAAUACUCAUAAUAGUAUAGUAGCCACGACCUAUAUAUAUAUAUAAUAUUUUAAUUAUAUAUAGGCUGAGUGAGUAACUUGAGUUUAGUUUAAAUUGGGCCAAUAUAGCUGACUCAUAAAAACAAAUCUAAUAAACAAACAAAGCGGCAAAAUUUCACUAAAUUUACACCCUCUUCCUCUAUUUUUUUUUUUUCACAGAGCUCUAAAUUCCUAAUCUCUCUCUCUCUCUCUCUCUAUUUUUCUAUAUCUCACCCCAAAUGGUCAACUCUAAAGCCCCCAAAGUUACUAAGUAACAACACGCGCUCGCCGUUAACUAUUUUGCCAUUAAUUGUGUACUUGAAAAAUAUACAGAAUAUUUUUAAGGUAAAAAAUUAUUGUUUAUACAAAAUUUUGAUUUUAGUUAUAUAUGAUUGGAUAAUUUAAUCGAAUAUUGCCUAUAUAAAUUAUUCAUUUUUUGACAGCAUAAAUGAAAAGUAAUAAUAUGGAGAUUGAAGGCGGAAGAGAAGACACGCGAGACUGAAAAAAAUAGAUAUCCAACUCAUAAAUUUUUUUUUCAUAUUAUAAUAUUGUAUUUCAUAUAAUUAUUUUGUAUUUUGAAUUAUUAGACAUAUCUUCGUAUCAAAUUAUAUAUAAUAUUCUAUAUGAAUUAAACUAUUGAUCGUACGAUGUUGAGAAUUUCAAGCGGCUUGUUUAGGGCUCGAGCUCGCUCGACUCAAAAUUAGGCUUGCUCGAGCUCGGCUCGAAUUAAUUUCAAAUCAAGCUUGAGCCUAAAUUUAAGCUCUAAAUUGAUUUCAAGCUGAAUUUGAGCAAAGAUAAGCUCGCUCGAGCUCGGCUCGUUUCCACCCCUACUCAUUCUUGCUUAUUGGUAUCAGUUCAAAAUCCUACUCAUUCUUGCUUAUUGGUAUCAGUUCAAAAUCCACUAGCAAAUAUAUAUGAAAAUUUAAGCAAAAAUUGUUUAUAUUAAAAUAAAAUUCUAAAAUUCGAAUACAAGGUGAUUCGUCUCGUUUAUUAAAUUGUUUCAAUGAGAUGUUAAUUCAACAAAGUCGCAUUUAGGGAUGCAAAUGGGCGGAUCUGUGGGUAGGAGAGUCGCCUCGCCUCCGGCCCUCGCCAAUAUCGAAUCUGCCCCGCCUCAAGCCACGCCUUUGUGAUGGGUGAAAUAUAUCUCAUAACCUAUUGUGUUUAACAAUCUGCCUCUUGCUGGCACCCUGAAUUUGCUUCGUCGGUCCACAAUUUUUUACUUACAUUUAAAUUAAUAUAAUAAAAUUUUAAUUCUUUUAAUUAAAACAAAAUUUUAAAAAUAAUUAAAGUAUUAUAAAAGAAUCUCUCUUUUAAAUCACAUUUGCUUCAAAAAGAACUAACAUUUAAAGUUCAAAUAAUGUUUAAAAAAAUUAAAAGUUGUUUUUUAACUUCAAUACUUUUUCAGGACAGAUUUGGGGCGAAUUCGGGAUGAGAUUUGUCCAGAUAGAUUUAAGACCGAACAAAUUUUUUUCCCAUCUUACACCCGAACUGUUUCGGAUUAUAAUAAUAUCCCAAUUUACAGGCCCGAAUUACUUAAUUUGUUUAUUAAUCACCAUUAGGGAUGUCAAUCGGUCGGAUUCGGAGCGGAUUUUCAAAAAUCCAAAUCCGAACGCGAACCCAACUCCAAACCUGAAAUCUAAUUCAAACCUGAAUCCGACAGAUUUUAAAAAUUCAUAUCCAAAACCCGAACUCGACCAAAAAUUCGAAAUCCAAAUCCAAGCCCAAACCUGAAAUCCAAACCCGAAAUAAUUAUUUCUCUUUUCAAUAUUUUAAAAUAUAUUACAUUAAAUUUAAAAUUUUAAAAUACAAAUUCAAAUGUAAUAUAUAUAUAUAUAUAUACACACGAAGCACUUGGUGCUACCAAGUUUUCCGCCGUUAGAUUUACCCUUUUGAUCAUUUUCACCCGUUAGAUCAUACUAUUCAACCAACCACCCAUUCAACCCUAGGGGGCCCACAUCAUUCUAACCGCACAUCUCUUAAUCCAAUGGCCAAAAACUUAGUAGUACCAAUAUCUUGGUCCUAUUAAUAGCAUAGUAGUCUAGUUAUAUAUAUAUAUAUAUAUAUAUAUAUAUAUAUAUAUAUAUCCGAAACUAUAUCUAUUUAGCAUCAGACAAAUUUAUUAUGUUCGAGUUUAGGUUCGUAUAAAAUUUCGGAUAUCCGUAGUCAUGGACAUCCCUAAUCACCACUUCCCGUCCCAUUCGGAGGCAGACUGCUGCAGGAGCUCGGCCAACCCGAAUCCGUUUUCACUCGCGCUCGUCGAGAAGAGAUCCGAUUUGGUCUGUGCAGUCUAUCUUUGUUAACGCUAGCCUCCGCUCCGCCGUUUCGUGUUGGCUUCCAGUCUUUUCCGCGUCCUUGGUCUCGUCAGCAGCAGCAGCAGCAGCGGCGGCGGCAGCAAUGGAGGAAGAGGCGGCAUCACCACCACCGCCGCCUUCUCUAGCCCAAGUACUCGAAGCCGCUUCUGAAUUCGCUUCCUUCCCCGGUACCCAUCUCCCGAACCUUCCCGCUGAUUCAUCCUAAUACCAUCUCAUUUUUGUCUCGAUAUUUAGCUAACCACUUCUCGACCGAUCGUUCUUGUAGGAUCGCAGAGUGAUGAUUCAGUCAGAGAGUUCGUCGAUCGUUUUCCUCUUCCCGUGCUUUUUGGGUGAAUCUCUCUCUCUUUCGCUCCAGCUUUUCUUUAUUUUAAUAUGCUUGUUAUGGCACAUAAUCAUAUUAUUGCCUUACUUAUUUGCCUUAUUAGUAUGUAUUUUCUUCUUUUUAUGAUUGAUGCUGUAUUUGAGCAAUGACCUAAUAUUAAGGAUUUAAGUGUCCAUCGGCAUGGGCCAUAUUCACCGUGCUCGUAUCGUGCCAAUAAGAUAUCGGCACGAUACAGUUUCCGUGCUGAUGAUGUUGCUCAAAACUCUCUAAUUUUUAAAUUAGUAAGUAAUUUUUUCAAUAAAGUUCAAAAGAUUUAAUAAAGAUACAUAAGAAGCAAUUAGAAUAUUUUGUGGCUAAAGAAAAUAAAGAUUUCAUGCCAUCACGUGCCGGUACAUGUGUAUUUUUGUACACGGUCCGGCAUGCACCGUGCCGUAUCGUGCCAACAAAUUUUCGGCAAGACCCCGUGCCACCGCACUUAAAUCCUUGCCUAAUAUUAUUUGAAUUUUCUUCCUUUUCAAUCAUGUAAUUGUAAUACUGAAUGGGCUUAAUCUCCUGUUGAAUAAUAUGAAGCCUUAAUCAGUUUUAGGAUUUUUAACAUGGUAUCAUAGCUAGAGGUUGUGAGUUCGAAUCUCGCCAUACUUGUGGUCUUAUUUGAUUUUUUGCUCAUUUCAUUUAAGUCCUAUUUCUUGGGCCUAUCAAAAUAUCUCGACCUAGAUGUGAUGGGGUGAUGCAAACCGAGAGGUUGCCAAAAGUGAAUUUUCAAGUUUGCUUUUGUUUAAAGGUAAAACUAGGUUCAAUUUAUCAAUUCCGAUGAACUUUAAGCAAGGAAGCAAAAAUUUCAGUAAAACAAAAAUUAAAAUCGAAUUGAAGUAAUACUAAGAUGAUGAUAAACCUUCAAUAUAUGAGAUAAUAACAACCAACUGAAAAUAUAUAUAAUAGUUCCAAAAGGUAAAUUCGGCUUUAUCGGACUUAAAGCUUUAGGUUUGGUUGUUUGGCAAAUAUGGUUGGUAAUGGUGGAAUGCUAGAUUAAAAGGGGAUAAUAGGAUGUCAUGAGAUGAGAGAUACAAAAAGUGCACCGUUCACACGAUUGCGAGGGAUCCACGAUCGAUGAGGAGGGCGGUACACUACGGGUAGAACUUCGACAACGGGGAAGAAGAAGAUGAGGUAGUGACUCGGAAGAAGAGGAGGGGUAGAAGUAGAAGCCGAUAUUGUCACGAGGAAGAAGUGACAACGAUCAAGUUGAGGAAGAAGACGAUCUCGGCGCGAGAAAGAAGCGUCGAUGAUCUCACCGGGAAGUAGAGCACCAAGGAUAAAGAUUGAGAGUAGAAUUUUCUAUUCAUCCAAAUAUAUCCCUUAAGGCUUCAAGAAUCAUGUAUUUAUAGUGUUGAAAGCCCUCUGAUAAUAAAUUAUUGUCUUUUCAUGUUCAACACAACACGGUCACCCAAGAUUCAUGCAUAGAAAACGAAGCAACUUUGGGAAUUACAAAGGUCUUUCUUUUAUUUUUUUUUUUGGGGAAUUCCAAAGGUCAUUUUGGGAUUGUUUUUUUGUUUAUGGGAGAAAAGAGUUUGGAUUAGCCAAAUCAACUAAAACCAAAUAAUUUAAGUCCGAAUCAAACACGAAUCUACAAAAUAAAAGAAAAUUGUAUUUGAAAAUAAAACGAGAUUUAUUUGCUGCAUCAUGGGGGGUGUUGGAGGUAAAUAUUAAAAACACUAUUUUUUGACAGUUUAAGUGUUUGGAGAUAAACGGUUACUCUAUAGUUUCUCAAAUUAAAGGUACCUAGUAGAACCUUCAGCAAAAAGAAAGGGUAAAGGUGCAUAGACCUUUCCAGAACUAUAGUGCAUUUUGAAACGGCAAAAAAAAAGGGUAAAGAUGCAAUAGAUCUUACCUAAACUACAGUGUAUUUUGAAAUGGUUACCUGAAUUUUUAAAAUUUUAAUUUUACUAUCUAACCUUACAUUCAUUUUAUUUUAUGAGCAAUUCUGAAAAACUACUUUUUCCAAUUCUGUUAGAAUUUAGCGAUGAUUAUCAAAAUACUUAUAGAAUGUUUCUUCAAAUGGAUGAAACAUUAUAUUAGAUUGCAAAUAUUAUGCCAAAGAAAUGAAAAGUACUGUUAAUUUCUGAUUGAAAAUACUAAAUCAUUUGUAUUAUAAUUUAUAAGAUUAGCUCAUAAAAUCAACAUUUGUAAGUUCAAGAGUGUCUCAAAAUGCGUCAUGCUUUCUAUAAGAUUAAUACAUUUUUUACAAUACCAAAAGAAAAAUCUGGAGCUUUUGGUGUGGCAUGAAGCCAAAAAGUGAGAUUGAGAACCGAAAAGCUCCAGUUUGGUGCUUUUGAUUUUACUGUGGGAAGAAUCUGGUGGGGACAUAUUAGUAAACUGCUUGUCCUAAUCUCAUUAAGGCAGCCCUUCGCCACUUUGUAAACAACACUACACCUGCAGAAGGCCCAAAUAGACGCUAAGCAGAUUUUUAAUUCUGGGUUUUCUCGAUAGGAGUCAUAGGAUGGCUUUGCAUUACAUAUCAGCAAAAAUGUCUAUACCUAACCUGAAAUAUAGUGCAUUUUGAAAUGACUAAUUGAACUAUAGAAGCCUUUUUAAGUGUAUCUGGAGUUACAUUCAUUUGUUCUCUAAGAAAUUCUCAAAGAAACUUUAUCAAGUUCUAUUAGAAUUAAUGAUUUUUUAUUAAAGUACUUGAUAGAGUGUUCCAUCAGAUGAUAGAAACAUAAUAUUAGAUUAGAAAAUACUCUAUCGAAAAAGUCAGAAGUACUGUCAAAUUCUGAUGGGGAAAUACUAAAUCAAUUUUAGUGUAAGAUUAGGUAGUAAAGUCAACAUUUUUGAAGUUCAGGUACCUGUUUUAAAAUGCGUCGUAGUUCACAUCAAGUCAGCACAUUUUUGCCUUACAAAUAAGAAUCCUGACACUGGAUAGUAGAUUAAAUUUAAGACUGGUGAUAGAGAGUGUACAAAGGGGUUGAAUAAUACAGACAUGAAGUGGCUUCAUCACUACUGUUGAAAAUGUAAAUAGGCUGUUGUGACAUGAAUUUGACUACUUGUUUAUUGUGUGAUUACCUUAAUUGCAGUGUGUUGCAAGGUGAGGUAUAUGUACCUGGAGUGGAGGAUACUAUUGUUGCCUGUUUAGACAAAAUCUUCAAGACAAAAUAUGGUGCUUCUCUUCUUCCAAACUUUGCUGUAUGUAUCAGUAUAAUUACUUAUGCUUCUAUGUUUCUUUUUCUUUUCAUUUUCCUUUUUGCAUUUGAUUACUUAAAGACAAAAUCUUCAAGACAAAAUAUGGUGCAUCUCUUCUUCCGAACUUUGCUGUAUGUAUCAGUAUAAUUACUUAUGCUUCUAUGUUUCUUUUUCUUUUCAUUUUCCUUUUUGCAUUUGAUUACUUAAUCAUUAUGAACGGAGCAGUUUAGUUUUCGAUCAAUAGCUUGAGUGGAAAAGGUAGCUAAACGUAAUAUUCACUUGUCAGAUUUAAAUAUCAAAUUUUAGUAAAUGCUUAUUUUAUUUUUUAUGGUCGUCAUAGAAACUUAUGAUGUUUGUAAACAGUCCACCUGAUGAAUUUAUGCCUGAUGUCCAGAAUUUUGAUAUCUAAUAUAUACUUGUAGAACUCAUUGAACUUACUAACUGGAAAAAUGUCAAAAUUAUUGGAUUUAGAAAUUCUUAGGGCAAGGUUUGUCUUUCCAUGUUUUACUUAAUUAUAUCAGGCAUGAUCGGUAUAUCAUUCAGAGCUAGUGGGUGAAUAUUAAAAAGGUGAUGUCCUUUAUAUUCUCAAAAUUUAGAUCACUCUUAACUGCCCCUCUCCUUUCUAAACUCAGAGAUUUUCCAGACAGAAAUUACUUUUUGUAUAAACUUUUUUGUAGUAGCAAGUUUUUCUUCUUUCUCCUACAUUUGGAUUGAACUUUUUAUCUUAUUGUUUCAUUUAUUAUUCUACUGAGUUAUUAUAAAUUUAAUAAAUUUAUUAGAUGUAUCAAAUACUUGUAUCACUUCUUUACGUUGAUUACUGUUUUUCUCUUUCUUUCUCCAGCCCUUCAUACAAGCUGGACUGCAGGCCAACUCCCAAGCCAUCAGAUGCUUGGCUUGUAAAGCUGUAUGUUUAAUUGCAAGUGAUUUUCUUUGAUUUCUGUUUGGAAACCUUUCUGUCUGAAUCUCUAUUUAAUAUUGACAAGCUAUUUUAAGAGCGUUUUGUCAUUUCUCUGAUCUCUUUUGUUACUCCAAGAAGAAUAUAGGUAUCUACUUUGCCAUGAUUCCAUCUUAUGCACGCCGCAGAUAGUGGUGUUGGUGACUUGUCCAUGUUUUGGUUUAAAUCUUUUCUUAUUUUAAGUGCACCAGAAAACUUAUUAAAAAGGGACUUGUACUCAUAUAAUUGGGCAAUAAUCACCCCCUACAUAUAUCCCCUGCUAGAGUGUAAACUUUUGUGUAUACCUCCCUUAUUUUAAGGUGGGGAAAUUAUUUAAUUGAUGGGGGCAAGAUUUGUUCUGUAUUAGGAAACUAUAUGUCAAGGAUGAUGCUUUUUGCAACUACAAGGGUAUAUUUGUAAGAAGUUGAGUUUAUCGAAAUUGUCAAUAAAAAUUUAGAUUUUGCAAGGAUAUGUUGGUUAAUAGAUAUUUUUUCAGUGGUAUAUAUGUAAAUAUAUCUAUUGCCUUAGAACUGCAAAGUUUGUUGUCCGGGAGGCUUGAACCUGAAUGGUACAUUCUUUUCAUCAAUUCCUUACAUCAGAAAAUUCUUGGCAUUUUGCAUAUGGUUUCACGUAGAAGCUAAGGCAAAUAAUGAACCUAGCACCACGUACCUUGUUUACAGUAGGAUCAUUUCCAUCAUUUGUAGCCUGAUGUAUUCUAUUGAGCUGUACCUCUUUAGUUAUAGCAUUUGCACUUUAUGCUCAGCUGCUACACGAAUUAUUCAAGACGAAAAAGAGACACUGGGAAUCUGAAUGGCUCUUUCAAUACUGGAUUGCUUUAUUAGAGCUAUUGUGCCACCUUUGAAGGGCUUAACGAUGCUUACUGGAACUUGGUUCUUGAUUGCUCAAGUCAACUGGUGGAUAUAUUUUCGCUAUGGAUAUCUGCAGAACAUUGAGAUGGAAGAAGUAUUAAUUUUCUCUAAAUCCUUGAUGUAGUUAAGGUUCGUUGUACUAGCUAUAGCUGGUCCAGGCUAGAGUGAUAUCUUGUUGGACAGUGACUAGGAUGUUUCAUUGUGCCUUUAUCAAAACAAGAUCUGAUGGUAGAACUUCAUUAGAACACAUUAUAGCUAAAAGUUUAUGAACCAAAAUGCAACUAGAUUAAUAGUUUGACUACUGGCAUAAUUUACCUUAGCUCAUUUACAUUGACUUUUACAAUUAGUAUACGGGACAAGUUUGAAAGUACUGCAGUCUAUAUCAUGAUUUAGGUCUUGUUCAAAGUACUCAUUUAACCUUGUGUUUCCAUCAGGUGUCCUAUCUUCUUGAUAAUGCUGACAAUUAUGGAGCAGCUGAGCAGAUUAUUAUUGGAUAUAACAUAUACCCACUUCUUCUUAACUGUCUGAUUGAGGGGUAUCAACCUUUUCAUUUGCUUUUAUAACAAGUUCAUAUUUUCAGCCAGUUUUUAUUCUGUCUUCUUAUGCUCUUAGUCUUUACAACAAGUUAGGUUAUUCUUUCUUAUUUUAUGUCUAAUUAUAAUAAUUUUUACAACAUGCUGGUGCUUAUUUAUUGAAUCAUGGAUGCUGGACUACUCUGUCAACUGUUGAAAUAACAUAUACAAAUAUAAGGUUUCUGGCCAUAACUCUAGGAAAUUAUCAUUUAUGGGCCAUUGGGCCCCUGUUUUUCAAGGGAUAAAUAUCCAAGCAAACACUCAUCAAAGGAUAAAUAUGCAAAUAGGAACUAUUUUUAGUGCAGCAAAUAAUGUUCACUCCUGAUUAAUUGAUUAUCCUACUCCAGUAAAAUCCUUUGUGCAUAACAUGUAAGCAUCUUUUAUGUUUUUGAAUCUACGCAUACUGAACUGUGUAUCCAUAUCUUUGUAACCUGUGGGGUCCGUAGAUGAUAAACCAAAUUCAUUAGUAGUUAUCCAUCCUACUUUAUUUGAAUUCCCUCUCAAUCAGUUAUGCCUACAACUUAUGUAUGACUAAUUUGGCAAAACGAAGUUAAAUCUUACAAGAUGUAUAUGUCGAAAGUAUCUUUUGCGUCUUGAAUCUAAAGGCUCUCCAGUGUUGCAUUGUCAACAUAUUAGAAUCGUCUUAUAAGGCACAAAAUGCUGCAUUGAUUUGCAUGAUCAAUACUUAAUUUGCAAUUUACUUUGAUUCCCAUAUUCUGUGUCCCAUUUGGCUCUCCAAAGUUUUUAUUUGAUAAUUUUAAUGUCGUUUGAUAUACAUUAAUUGAUCCAUCUGCAUUCGAAGAGUAGAUUAGUUUCAUCUGAAAUAAAAAGUGAAAAUGAUAUAUUUUUUAUUUUCUAAGCUAGUUCAUAAGCGAACUUGGACCUAUGAUAGGUGAACUUUGCAUAUUAGUAACAACACUUGGACCUAGAACUUCACAGUUGCUACUUGAGUAAUAGAAGCUAUUCAAGUAUAACAAUAUCUCUACAUUUGGUCUUACAAUUAACAAGAAAUUAGGGGUGAAAAACGGAUCGGAUAAUAUCCGGCUGUUUCCACAUCCGUAUUUGAUUUCAUCCACAUCCGAAUAGGAAAUAUCUGGGUCUGGUUGGAUACGGAUGCAGAUAUGGUCUCAAAGAGUUCAAAUUGCCCGAAUAUUUGAAAAUAUUGGAUACAAAUCAGGAUAUCCUGAAGUUUAUAUAUGUUAUUAACAAAAUAUUGUGGAAAAAUAAUUGAUAUUGGGUUGUAGCUGACAUCGUAAAGGGCUUGCCUUGCACGUAAAGGGUUCAGGUUGGAUUCUCCUCACCCCCUUAAUAUUUUAAAGGGUAAAAUGUACGGAGACCCCUUGAACUUAAGCUUAUUUGCAAACAAGUGCCUAAACUUUCAAUUUUGGCAACCUGAAAAUUUAUCGAAUAGUUCAAUAUACCCCUCUUUCAAUUAAAGUUAUUAAUUACACAAUUGUUUGGGUAUGAUAUAUUGCAUAUAGUUUUUAUAAAGCUUCAAAACAUAAAAUAAUUAUUUUUUGUAUUCUAACAUACAAAAAAGCGAAAAAAUUGAAGCACAAUUGAACUUAUUCUUCCAUCAUCAUGCUUAAUUAUCAAAAUUGGAAGAGAAAAAAAAAAGAUUUUGUUUUUUAAGUCUUACAGAAUAAUGUGCACAACGUCUAAUCAAAACGGCUGUAAUAAUUAUUAAGUUCACUUGAGGAGGGGGGCCUAUUGAACUAUUGGAUAAAGUUUAAGAGGCCUCUUUACCAAAAUUGAAAGUUCAGGCUCCUGCUUGCAAAAGAGUUGAAGUUCGGGGGGUCUCUACACAUUGAAGUUCGGGGGGUCUCUACACAUUAUUUCCUAUUUAAAAUUUUAUUUAACAAUUAUUUAAAUUUAAACAUAUAUCAAAGUUUAAAUUAUAAUCCCAUAUUUGAAUUUAAAAUAUAGAUUCAAAAUUUAAAUUUAAUUUUUAAAAUUUAAAAUUUAAUAUAUGUUUAAUAUUUAAACUUAGAUAUAGUUUUAAAUUUUGAGUCUUUUGACUUUGAACUUGAGUUUGAUUGUGAAUUUAAAUAGUAAAUUUAAAUAUAAUUAAAUUUUAGUUUUUUUAAAUUUUAAUUUGAACAUGAUUUAAUUUGUGAAUUUUGUAUAUCAUUUUGAAUUCAAGUAUAAAGUGAAACUUAAAUCAAAAUUUAUAUUUAAAUUGUGAAUUGAAAUUUGCAUAAGAGAUUUGAACACAAAAUUUAUAUUUAGAUUAAAAUUUCAUAUUUAUAUUUUGAAUUGUAAAUUCUAUUUUAAACAUUUUUUAUGGGCAAUUAAAUUUUCCUUAAUGAAAUAAUAAUAAUGGGUUGAUUAUGAUUAUGAUUCCUAUUAUUAACCAAACAAAUUAGGAGAUUUUGUCAUUCCAUUUUCCAUUUCGAUCUGUUCUGAUUCCUAUUCCGAUUUCCAUUUCUAUUUUGAACCAAACAUGCUCUUAAAUUUAUUGAAUAAGAUAUAGGCAUAUAAAGUUUGAACAGGACUGCAUAUAAAGUUUGAAUAGGACCGCAAAAAUUUGAUUGCACUGUGUCUUAUUCACGUUAAUUCUAGUUCAUAUUCCUUUGUGCAUAUUAAUGCAAGGAUUUAAAUGCCCAUCGACAAAGAUCAUAUCCACUGUGCCGUAUCGUACCAACAAGAUAUCUACACGAUACAGCCCUCGUGUUGAUGGCGCAGCUCAAAACCCUCUUUUCUUUAAAUUAUUAAGUUUCUUAAUAAAGUUCAAAAUAUUUGAUAAAGAUACAUAAUAAGCAAUUAGAAUAUUUUGUUGUUAAAGAAAAUAAACAUUUCAUGCCAUUAUGUGUUGGCACAUACAUGUAGUUUUUGUGACCGGCGCACAUCGGCACGGCCAAGCACACACAAUGCCGUACCAUACGGGCAAGUUUUCAGCAUGACCCUAUGCCACGACACUUAAUUCUUUGUAUUAAUGUAUAUUAGUAUCUGAAUAAUAUUUGAAUACAAAUUCAAUCCAUAUCCGAAUCUAGAAAAAUAUCCGAUUGUAGUCGAGUCCAUUUUAGUAGAUAUGGUAAUAGAAAUUUAGUAUUCGAUAUAGAUCUGCAUCCAAAUCCGUAUCCGGGAAAAAAAAUGCGGAUAUGGUUUCGUCAAAUAUCCGACCGUACCUGAUCCUUGUUCAGCCCGACAAGAAAUAGGGCAUGAAUGGAGGGCAAAAUCUGCAUUUAUUAUUUUUAUGUUCACUCCAUUCUUCCCUUGAACUUCCACACCCUUCAAAAUAAGAACUUUGACAGCCCUAAAACAAUGACAACUGUAGAAGGGCGAAUAUAUACAUUGGCUAAUUGAAGUUUCUACAUGUCCGCUUAGGCGCUUACCAUCAUCCGUUAGUUAGGUGUCGAUUCAUCUUCCUUUAGAUCAUGACAUCUUUUGAUUGAGCAUUAAAUCGCCCUUGUCUCUAUGGAAGUAAGUUAUAUAACAGAUAGUUUUUUUUUUCCUUCAUCUUAUAUUGUUUGUAUUGAGCUUUCUUUCUAUCCUAAAUUGCACUUAGUAAUGGCCCUUGAACUGUAUUAUUACAGUCCUCAUCUAAUUUGCCAGCUCUCCAUCACUUUUUAUUCUAAUAAACUUUAAACAUUCUGAGUUCUGUAUCUUGUCACCACAGAAAUGAACAAACUUCAGCAGCUUCUCUGGAUGCCAUAAAGAGAAUUGCUGAAGUUCCAGAAGGAAAAGUAAGAAUGUGGAGGAUUUGAUUUGUACAGUACAUGUGCACUGUAUCUGCACCAUAUUAAUCUGAGGUUUGCAUUUCUCCUUUUCUUUUUAGAGUAUCAUCUUUCCAACUCAUGGGGAAGGAUCGAUGCAACUAAAAAACUUAGCAGCUCACUCCUCGUCUCUGGUAUGUUGUUUAUCUGUUAAAAAGAUUUAAAAUUUACAGUUCAUUAAGGUCUCUUUUAUCAGGCUUAAUUUUUACUACUGUUUGGAGCUAGUUUUAUUUGUCUUUAUUAAUUGCAGUAAAUAAGGCUAAAGUUUCAUCCUUCAACAUUUUCUAACUGGAGUAAAGCAACUUUUCUGUGUUGUAUACUUGUAUAGACAAUGAUUUUAAUUCUGUUUCAGGGUACUCUUGCUGGAUCCCUGGAUAUCUUCAAGAAAUGCUUUUUCCUUUUUAAUUGUUUCCUACCAACUAAUAAUAUGCAAACUGAUCUGACAACUGAGAUGUUAUAGUCCUUCACAGCAUUAAUUUCCUUUUUUUUGGUUGUUGUGAUGCGACACAAGUUAUUCAUAGCAUGAGUUACAAAAUGAACUCCAGUGUUGAUACUUUGAAAUUUUCAAUCGAUAUUUAUCCUCUGCAAGAUUUGCAGAAAUUUAGAAUACCACCUUUGAAAUUAAUUUUUUUGCAUCUUCAUUUUUCCCCCUCUACUUGAUCACCAUAUUCAUAGCAUGAGUUACAAACUGAACUCUCAGUCUUGAUACUUUGAAAUUUUCAAUUGACAUUUAUCCUCUACAAGAUUUGCAGAAAUUUAGAAUACCACCUUUGAAAUUAAUUCUUUUGUUUCUUCAUUUUCCCCCCUUUACAUAAUCAAAUACUUUGCACAUUCUAAAUCAGUUUUGCAUAACAUGAUUUAAUCCAGCACAUUCCUGUGCUGUUAUAAUGGUAACUCUACUAUUCUAUGAGGAAAACCAUUGUUUAUCUGUAGCUUUUCUCAAAAAAGUGAUUCUUGUUAAUACCUUUUCUAUUAUUUCCCUGGAUUGAUUGGAGCUUGUAUGAUAUUUUUAUGUAUUUACUAAGAUGCUUUCCUUAAGCAGUUAUCUUUCAUACUUGAAUGCACUUCCUGAAGUUUUUCAUUGGAUUUUCUAGGCUCGGAUUCGAAUUUUAGCUCUCAUAGCAAAACUGUUCUCAGUUUCUAGUUCCGUAGCUACAGCAGCCUACGACUCAGACCUGCUUAGUUUAUUUGAGGCGGAAAUUAACAACAGGCGCGACAUGCUCACAACUCUGAGUGCUUUGGAGCUUCUUUAUGAGGUAAGAAUUUCAUCCUGUGAUUAUCUAUUGUUUUUUUGCAUGUAAAGCAAAUUAGUUAGUUUUUUAAUAUAUUUAUGGUUACAUUGGCUUUCUUAUUUAACUGUUCUUUUCAUUGGAAUGACAUCUGAUUAGGCUGCUUGAAUAUGUAAUCUUAGGUUCUCAAGAUGUUUAUUAUCUACGGUUGGAUUGAAGUUGAACUAAUUUCAUCCAUUUCUUUUAAUCCCCAAGAUCCAAAGAAAAAUCCAUUAAUGUCCAUGCAAUAAUAUACAGUAUAGAUGCGCCAAAUGCAUACACACACAAAUAUGUAAAUAUUUAUAGAGAACUUUUCCUUACAACUUUGACAUUUCAUUUAGUUGUUUAAGAUCUCUAUUAAAAUCAACUAUAAGCUAUCUAAAUUGGUAUAAACAUUUUUUGUUGUAUUUGCGGCACCCCAAAAUAGUCCCAUAUCGUAUAUUUUAAGUGUUUGAGGGCCAUAUAUGUGAAUAGUAUAGUAAUGCUAGUAAUUUGGGCUUAAGUAUUUUGGGCGGGUGAGUUGAACCCACCGAGUAGCUAAUACUAGUGGCUAGUUGGGUCGUUACAUAUGAUAUUAAAGCCAAGUUACCAAUCCCUAGGAGCUACCUCUAGAAUCUCACAUUGCUUGAUGGUCUUGAAUUAUGUGUGAUUGUGCCUAACAAGGAUGUCAAGGUCUAGAAAGAGGAAAGUUUGUGGUUUCCCUAUAGUAGGCCCAUAUUGGAUAUUACUAUUGUGUUUGAGGGCCAUAAAUACAACUAGUACAUUAGUGCUAGCAAAGUUUAAGCAUUUUGAGCCAGUGAGUUGGGCCAAUAAAGUAACUAAGACUAGUGGGUUAGUCGGGUCAUUAAAAUAAUCUGCAAAGUAGCUACUAUUAGACUACUAGUGGGCAAGUCAGGCCAUUAAAGCACUCUUAUUGGAAGCAAGGGUUAGCGUCUGUUAAUCUGUCCUAUUUUCAUCAACUUUAGCAUCCCUGAUGCUUGGAAGAAGUGUGAUUAUUACAUUGCUUUUCCUGUAUUGGUGGGCAUGAUGAUAGUAGAACACUAUAUAUUGAAGAUAAAUUAUGUACUUGCAAAUGAAACAAAAUAGACUAAGGGCCUCCGAGUAAUCUGUUGCUUUUAGCAUUCUUGAAUCUCGAUAUACCAAUUGUAUCAUUGGAGUGGUUUGUUUAUGUUAAAAAUUCAAUUUUAAAACUGUGAUUGUGGAUGUUUGGCCGUGCGGUGCGCACCACAUUCACGGUGCGGCCCGCAGAGCGCGAAGUUUGGCGCUUGUGGUUGCGUAUGGAUCUCCAUGCAUAAUCACAACGCGAAACGCAGAGGAUGUGGCCCACUCAUGAACCUCGGUAGAGAUCCCUCUCUGAGAUCCACCUCGAUUUCUCUCCCCCCUUAUCCUAGACUUUUUUCAAAAGUAACCCUGUGAAAUUUGGUAAUUGGGGAAAUAACCCUAUAAAAACCAAAAUUAGCAAAAUAAUCCUCUCUUCGCCACGUUGGAGCCACGUCAGAUUGUCACUCUGAAGACGGUGAAUCGUUCACCGCUUGCAGAGAAGGCAGUGAAUGAUUCACCAUCUUUGUGAUAUAACUUACAAAGGCUGUCGAUGAUUCACCGUAUUUACCAUUCACCGCCUUUAGUAUAAACACCUCCGAACUGGUUAAUUUAGGGUUUAGAUGGGUGUGCAAAGUGGUUAGUUUAGGCAUGGGUGUGCGAAGUGGGUUAAGUACACAUAAGACGGUAAAUGAUUCAUCGUCUUACUGAAGACCGUGAAUCGUUAACCAACUUCAUUGAAGACAGUGAAUCGUUCACCGCCUUUUGUGCAAGCUCUUUUUUUAUAAGUAUUUAACGGUAAUUUUUACAAGUUAGGAACAUCAAUUUGCACGACAACAAAAAUUUCGACAAUAAAGUUCAAAGAACAACAAGAUAUAACCAAUUUGGUAAGAAUAUCAAUAAAAACACAAAGUUUGUAAAAAUAUCAACUAAAUAAAGAGGUAUAUAAUAUUGCACAUGUUAUAUAAACUGUUCGAUCCAAAUCACAUAAAUGUUAGCCUCGAGAUCUUCCUCUCCCUCGACGUCCUCGGCCAUGUCCGCGUGCACGUCCAUGUCCACGUCCAUGUCUACGCCCAUGAUCAACAUCGAGCUCAACAGGAGGUACAUCAUAAAGUGGCUCGAUACUUGCCAUCUGAUCGAGAUCCUCGAUAAUGAUGCCCCCACGAUGCUCUGGAAUCGCCCGAGUCUUCUCUGCCACAGGAAAAGCAAUGUAAUAAUCACACUUCUUCCAAGCAUCAUGGAUGCUAAAGUUGAUGAAAAUAAGACAGAUUAACAGACACUAAGCCUUGCUUCCAAUAAGAGUGCUUUAAUGGCCUGACUUGCCUACUAGUAGUCUAUAGUAGCUACUUUGCAGGUUAUUUUAAUGACCCGACUAGCCCAUUAGUCUUAGCUACUUUAUUGGCCCAACUCACUGACUCAAAAUGCUUAAACUUUGCUCGUACUAAUAUACUAGUUGUAUUUAUGGCUCUCAAAUAUAUCCAAUAUGGGCCUUCUAUAGGGGAACCACAAACUCUCCUCUUUCUAGACCUUGACAUCUUUUUUAGGACAUAAUUCAAGACCAUCAAACAAUGUGAGAUUCUAGAGGUAGCUCGUAGGGAUUGGUAACUUGGCUCUAAUACCAUAUGUAACAACCCAACUAGCCACUAGUAUUAGCUACUCAUGGGUUCAACUCACCCGCCCAAAAUGCUUAAGCCCAAAUUACUGGCAUUACUAUAUUAUUCACAUAUAUUGCCCUCAAACACUUAAAAUAUACAAUAUGGGACUAUUUUGGGGUGCCGCAAAUACAACAAAAAAAUGUUUAUACCAAUUUAGAUAGCUUAUAGUUGAUUUUAAUAGAGUUCUAAAACAACUAAAUUAAAUGUCAAAGUUUUAAGGAAAUGUUCUCUAUAAAUAUUUACAUAUUUGUGUGUGUAUGCAUUUUGCGCAUCUAUACUGCAAAUUAUUGCAUGGACAUUAUUGAUUUUUCACAAUGGACUAUUCACAUGCAUGCAUUUUGCGCAUCAUAUUAUAUAUUAUUGCGUGAGCAUGCACGCGGACGUGGCCAAGGAUGCCAAGGGAGAGGAAGAUCUUGAGGCUUACAUUUAUGAUCUGGAUCGAACACGUUGUAUAACAUGUGCAAUACUAUAUACCUCUUUAUAUUUAGUUGAUAUUUUUACAAACUUUCUGUAUUUUUACUGAUAUUCUUACCAAAUUGGUUGUAUCUUGUUGUUUUUCGAACUUUAUUGUUGAAAUUUUUGUUGUCGUGCAAAUUGUUGUUCCUAACUUGUAAAAGUUACUGUUAAAUUACUUAUGAGAAAGGAGCUUGCACUAAAGACAGUAAACGAUUCACCCUCUUCAAUGAAGAUGGUUAACGAUUACCGCCUUCAGUAAUACUGUGAAUCACCGUCUUAUGUGUACUCAACCUACUUCGCACACCCAUCCCUAAAUUAACCACUUCGCACAUCCAUCUAAACCCUAAACUAACUAGUUCGGAAGUGUUUAUACUAAAAGGCGGUGAAUGAUUUAUCGCCUUUAGAAGACCGGUGAAUCGUCCACCGCCUUUAGAAGGCGGUCGUAAGUCAUAUUACGAAGAAGGUAAAUCGUUCACCGCCUUCUCUGAAAGCGGUGAAUGAUUCACCGUCUUCAGAGUGACAAUCUGACGUGGCUCCAACGUGGCGAAGAGAGGGUUAGUUUGCCAAUUUUGGUUUUUAUAGAGUUAUUUUCCCAAUUACCAAAUUUUACAAGGUUAUUUUUGAAAAAAGUCCCCUCAUCCUCCUCUAGGCUGGGGCUCUCUCUCUCUCAUUAUCAUCUCUCUCUUUCUCUCUACCUCUUCAUUCUUUUUUUCCUAUAGGCUUGGGGGUGGGGGCAAAGUUGUGAUGCCCACAACUGUCAUGGCCCUCAAAAUUUUAAAAAUUACACAUAGACCUCUUAAGUAAUUACCAUAUUACAGAUUAUAAUAUUAUAAAUCUUAGCCGUUCGAAGCGUCAAAUUAAAAUUUUUUCUUACAAAACUUGUGGACCACGACGAUUUUUCCUUGCGAAGUUUUUCUUACAAAACUUUAUAAUAAUCUUAUUAAGAGAAAUAUAUUGUGUUUGUUUGGCCUCUUAAAAUUUAAAAAAUUGCAUAUUAGUCCUUAAUUAAUUAGGUGCAUAAAAGAAUAAAAUAUUACAAAUUUUAAUCUCUUAAAAUUUAAAAAUUGCAUAUAAGUCCUCAAUUAAUUAGGUGCAUAAAAGAAUAAAAUAUUACAAAUUUUAAUCUUUAAUGGGGCUAAAUUAAAAUUCUUUUUACAAAAUUCGUGGGUCACGAAAAAGUUUUUCCUAAAAAAAAUUUCCUUGCAAAUUUUUCGUUACAAAAUUUUAUAAUAAACUUUUUUAAGAUAAGUAUAUUAUGUAUUUUUGGCCCCCAGCAAUUUUAAAUUCUGGCUUAGCAGAGUGGCGGGCUUUGGCCAGGGGGUAACGGGUUCGGCGGUGUGUUGUGGCGGUGAGGGUGAGGGAGCAGUAGGGCAAAGCGGCGUAGGCUUUGGUGACGCCAGAGCCGACGCCGCCAAAUUAUUUUAUUUUUUUCUGCACUCAAAUAAAUUUUUAAUUAGAUUAGAUUAUUUUUAAAUUUUAUUUUUUUUAUUAGAUAUUUUUUAAUUAGAUUAUUUUUUAAAAUAUAUAUUUUCUAUUAGAUAUAUUGAAUAUAUUUUAUUAGAAAUAUUUAAAAUAAUAUUUUGGUAGUAUUUUAUAAUUUAGAACAUUCUACAGUGAUUUUCAAAUAGAUAUUAUCUAUAGCAGCGUUCAAUUGCAAACAAUACUUGUAUGACAAAAUUAUCAUACACUCUACAGCUUUUUUAAACAGCACAAUACUAUAUCCUAUAUCACUUCUAGUCUUCUACAACACUAUUUUUUACAGCUUGGCUAAAACAGGCUCAUUAUUCUGAACUUGGAAUUUUUUAUGGUAGUUAUAGAAGUCUUUUAAUGAGUAUUAAUUUUUCUAAAAAAUUAUGGGUCUUUUAAUGGUAUUUGUGUUUUUUUUAGAUUGUGUAAAUAUGAUUCUUAUCCUCAUUAGUUGCAUGCCUUGUGCCUUCUACGACCAUGGUUUCAAGUUGGUUUUAAUUACAACUUUUAGCAGUUACUUGCCAGUGCAUAAAGCUUAUUUCAGUUACAGCAGAAUUAGAUGUAUGCAUUCGAUAUUAUCUUUCUCUGUUGGGUUGAUGUAGCUUUAGUUCUUGUGAAUUUGAUAGUCCUGACCUAAGCAUUGGAAUAUCAAAAGAAUUUCAAAAUUAGAAUAUAGAUAAUUAAUAAAAAAUGAAAAAGAAUGCUGGAAGCCUUGUCAGAUAUGAUAUCAAUCUUUUAUUUUUUGGAUACUCAUUUUUAAGUUUUGGUAGCUUAGGUUGACAUCUUAAUAUUUACAUAAAUAAAUGCAUAUGGAAAUUAUUGUUUAUUUAAGUUGCGUCUAGACAGUGCAUACUUUUUAUUUCUAGCUAAGAUAUCUAGUACCUUUGCACAACUAUUCUACAUCACAUGCUAUUGAAUAUAAAUAGUAAAAACACCGUUCUCUCACAAUUUAAAGCUUUUGGAAAACAACAGUUGUUUCACAUAAUUUAACAUUGUAUCAGAGCAAGAGUCCUGAGUUAGAGUCCCGCUAGGCUUCUAAUCUUAUUUAAUUUUUUCUCCCAUUUAAAUUAAACCCACAUUUUGGGUCUAUCCAAAAGUCUCAAGCAGAUGUGAGAAGUGUUGAAUAUAAAUAUUAAAAGCAACCGUUCUCCCACUUAAAUGAAGUCCGCGUCUUUGACCUAUCAAAAAGUCUCUAGUCUAGAUGUGAGGGCAAGUGUGGAAUAUAAAUAUUAAAAACACCGUUCUUUGACAACUUAAGUUUUUGAAGAACAACGGUUGUUUCACAUAAUUUAACUUGGUAUCAGAACAAGAGGUCUUGAGUUCAAGUCCUGUCAAGCUUCUAAUCUCAUUUAAUUUCUCCUAUUUAAUUUAAGUCCACGUCUUAGGUCUAUCAAAAAGUUUCAAGCCCAAAUGUGAGGAGGAAUGUUGAAUAUAAAUAUCAAAAAUGCUUUUCUUUGGAUAGCUUACGCUUUUGGAGAACGAUGGUUGUUUCACAUAAUUUAACACCUGGCAUUGUCAAGUGAGGAAUUGACGCUUAUCAUUGUAAACAUUGUAAGAUUGAUAUGGUGCUUGGGAGGUGAUUAUAGCAUUGAGUGAGUAGACUUUUUGUUCAUCAUUCAAUCAUUUGGUAGCACGUCGUCCUAAUAAUCAUUAAAACUCAUGGAAAUUAGAUUAUUCAAUGGACAUUGAUUCUCUAACUGCAUUUAUAUAGCUCCAACGUAGACAUUAUCAUGCAAAUAUAUCUGUAAAACUAAUGAUGCUUGACCUAUUUAAAAAACAAAGGUAAUUUUUGAAGAAACUCUGUGCGAACCAAAUUAAAAUAUAUGCCAUCACCUACGAGAUAGGAUGUGUUUCUAUUUUAUGUUGUUUGCAAAGAGACUGGGAAUGAUAAAAAGCAGGGAAACUAACAGUUGUUUGAUUUCAUAGUCUUUCUAUGUUGUACCAUUAGCAUAUGAUUGCCAACGCAACUACAGCUGUUUCCAAUGAGUUCUUUUUUUUCAUUUAUUUUAUUUUGAAUAAUUUGCAAAUAUCUCCUAUCCUGCAAUUAAGUAUGUAUCCUUUGGAUAGUUGGUCGAGUCACCACAUAGUACGAGGUUUCUGCUAAAGACUACCUUGCUUCAACUACUGACUGAUUUGAUAAGGUACUUUGGUGACAAGUUUGUUAUACAUUUGGUAUUUACUUCUUUUAUCAAUUUAUUUUUCCUCUUUUCCUUUUGUUUGAAUCUUAUGUCUUCUUUCAGCAAUUCUUCUGUAGAUUCCAUUUUGCGAUCAAGAGCAGCUUUGAUCAGUGGGAGGCUUCUUUCAUCGGCUGAGGCCUACAUGGCAAUUAGUGAAUCCAGUCAGUCUCUUGAUCUGUUUAAAUAAAUGUAGUUUCAUCUCCAUUUGAACGUGCAAUGUCAAAUCUUGUUAUGUCAGUAUUUCCCUGUGCUAUCAGAUGCCUGAUAUUAGGUCAUAUUUGGAAUUGGAAUAUGUGGGUUUCAUUUUGGGGGGAGGGGUUAUGAAUGUUAAAUGAUCCAUGUAUGGAAAACAGUGAAGUAAGUGGACGUAAAUUUGUAAAGGACCCAACGGACCAAGGCCUAUCUUCUUAGGUUUUUGUUCUUUAUUUUAGCUUGUCUGGGUUAUUUAUUCUGAACUGAAGGAUGAACUUUUGUUUGUCCUAUUCUAUCCCUUAACAUAGCUCAGGCAAACUUUUGUUUAUUCUACUCCGUUUCUCAACCUAACUUUUGACCUUUAUAAUUGUCACCUUCAUCUAGAGUAGAUGGAGAAGUGCAACCUGUCUAAUAAAGUAUCGUCUUCUCUCUCUUUCUCUCUCUCUCCCCCCCUGUUUCUGCAGUUAUUUUGCUUGGUGCUUAGUACUGAAGUAACAGUCAAUAACAGUCUUCUGCUUAUUUUUUUCCCCCUGUUUCUGCAGUUAUUUUGCUUGUAGGGGAUCCAGAGUAUUGCUGUCUUAAAUUUUUUAUCAGUUCCUUUUUAAUUAUUUCUGCAGUUAUUUCUGCAGUUAUUUCUGCAGAAAUAACUCUGCAGUUAUUCUGCAGUUAUUUUUUCCCCCCUGUUUCUGCAGUAACAACUGUAGGGGAUCCAAAAUAUUGCUGUCUUAUAUUUUUUAACUAUUGUUCCUUUUUAAUUAUAUUUGCUUUGAAUCAUUUUGAAGUACUUUCAAAUAAUUGUUGUCUGCAUUUAGAAACCUGGCUAUGAGAACUUCGAAGCUACUCUAGUUACUCAACUUCUGUUCAGGUAUUGCAGCGCUUCUUUCUGCCAUUGAUGGAAGAUUAAGUCUGCUUGAUAGCCAAAAUACAGAUGAAUGCGAGAGUGCCUUAGAAGCUUUGGGUCUAAUUGGAGCAAGUAAGUAUUCCAAAUUCCCGAUGAACCUCAUUUAUGAAACUGAAAAUUUCCUGCUCGCUAUGAUUUCAAUUUCUGCUACUAGAUCAUUUGUUUCACAAUUCUUCCUUGACUAGUUAUCUUAGUUGUUGUUAUUCUUAGUUCUAUAAAACUUUUGUUGUUGCUCCCUCUAGGGAGAGUGACACUUUAAAAUAUUCUUGGAAUUUUACUAUUCUUGAAUAUACUGAGUGGCAUUUUUUAUAGGUUCGUUAUGCAACCUUUAUUCUCUCGAACUGCCAUUCUAGGGAUGAAAGCAUUCUUAUUUGCUCUCUGUUGUCUGAGGCUUAUUGGCUUUGUUUGCAAUUGCCAUAAUAUUGUUAUUUGUUGGAUUACUAGUUUUCUUAACUAUUUUACCCUUUUAUUUGUCAACCUUUUUAAUCUAAAAUAGAUCAUAAAACAGAUUCCCUUGGGAUGAAUGCUAUAUAAGGCAGUUGUUUGUUUGAAUAGCAUAGAUCUUAGGAAACAUAAUAAUCGGACAUAAUAGCAUUAGAUAGCUGGGUCAUUGAUGCAAAGAAGCAACUUGUUUCGAGAAUGAUUAAAUAUGUGGGAGCUUAGGAAAGUUGCUGUAUGAGAGAUGCUCUGAAGAGAUUCUAAAGCAGCAUCCAUAUCCUGAUUAGGUUAUUCACACUGUUAUUGUGUAAACACUUCUUUUGAAAUUUUAAUCAGGUUCUUUGCAUGUUGUCUUUAUAAAUUGCCAUCUUGAUAUGAACAAAGUCUUACUGCUCUUCGUUAGGAGAUAUUUUUUGUAUUCACUGCAUGAACUCUUCAUACUACAAAUGGGCAUCUUAUUUUUCUUGAUCUGGUGGAACUUUUUAUCCUCAGCUUCAUGUGCACAUGAGUAGAUCGUUACAUUUGGCUAUCAGGAUAUAGAGAUUACACAUGGUUCUUUUCCAGGAUUGCUCCUCCGGAUUAUGUUGCUGCCAAAAGAUAGCUUGUCAAUGUUAAGAUUCUGUGGAUACCUGAAAAUGACUGUCAGUUCAACUAUUUUUAUCAGUAGUAUAAUUUACCUCACACGCAAUUAUGAUUUGAAGUAAUUGGCUACUCUCUAUCUUGUUGUGCCUGUAGAAUGAUCAACGAAAUGGUACUUCGCAAGUUCCAUCAUGCACACUGCUGUAGCAUGAAAAAAAAUCAUUACAUUUGGUAUUGAAAGGAUCUUUUAGUUGCCUAUGUUUCUUCUAGAAAAUUCUCUUUUUUUUAUACUGUAGUGUAAUAACUAGUUCUUGCACUUCAAAGUUUUGUAAAUAACUGAAAUGCAAUAGAGAGGAGAUCAAGUGUUUUGUAGAGUUUUUUUUUUUUACUUUGUCUCUACCUUUUUCUUGCCAUUUUUCAUCAAUCACAUUAUAAAUUCAAGAUUGUCAGCAUAUUGCUCGUAUCUUAUUAUGCAUCUUGUUGAUGUUUUCUAGCAAUUCAAGGAGCGAAUCUGUUGCUUAUAAGUUCGUCUGAUGCAGCAAGACAUAUUGUAGAGUCAGCAUUUGAUCGCCAAAGCAGAGGUAAACUGCUGGUAAGUAGGUAAUAAUAGCAUUAUGUUGUUCAAAAUCUUACUUUUGUUUAUUUGUAUAUUAGAUAGAUCCAAAAUCUUUAUUCUCUAACCUUUACAUGUUAUGAUAUUCUUACUUAUACAUGAUAAGAGAACCAUAUCAAUUCUUCAUAAUGUUACAUUUGCAUUGUAUGUGAGGAGUCAGUUUGCUAUUUGGGAAUAUUCUUUACCUGAUUAUCUUGGUCAUCAUGCAUGUUAGAUUUCUCCAAUGGUGAUGUUCAGUUAAGAAGAGAAAAUUCUUUCUGAUCAUGCUGGAUCUUGAUGACUUUGUUUAUCCUAUCCGUGACUAUGAUACCUACCACUCUGCAACUAGCAUUACAAUAAUUUAGUGUAGCUCGGAAGAACACAUAAUUGCAACAUUAGUUGGUUUUUUUAAACUGUUCUAGCUUCCUUCUGAUGUGUAUGCAGCCUAAAUAUCUUUAAGUUUCAUCCUUGUUCUUUAGUUGGAGGGUUUGUCCUGAUUUUUUUUUUUUUUAAUAAUCCUAUAUAUAUAUGUUGACACUAGCCCAAGUUACGUACUUUGUACAUUAGUGUGAACCCAACCAUGGGGACUGUAAAACUGAAUUCGAGACUGUUCGAUGUUCAACAUCUAAAAAUCCUAUGUACAAAAAAUUACGAGACCUAGAAUUUUUCAUUAGGGGUCAAUGUAAAAUCCAUAGGAUGUAGGUCUUCAACGAUCUUGAUUUUAGAUGUUGUAGAUCACAUCUGACAGUCUUGAUUUUGAGUUUUAAGCCUCUGGUUGAAUUUCACACUUUCAGAGUGUUUAACUUGAAGUUUUGUGUGUUGAUCGUAAUCCACAUUUAUCUCCACAGGCUGCUUUACAUGCUCUUGGAAGUAUUUCUGGAGUUGACCGACCAGAAGAUAAAAUUCUACUUGGUGAGAAAGCGGAGGAAUGCCUUAAGCGCUUGAUAUAUACAACUGCUGCCAAUAGUCCAAAGCUAACCCCUUCUGUUAGUAUCUCUCUAUUCUUCUAUUUCAUCAUAUAUUUCGCAUCUAUACCAAAUUGCAAGUAUGUGAAAGUUUACAAAUACCUCUCUAAAGUUGGUGUUUACAUGCAUAGUCCUUUAAAAUCUUAAUUUGUGCCAGGCAUUGGUGCCCCCUGAAUAGUUAUCCAUGAAAGAAUAUUUUGAAAUACCCUUACCUUCAAGCAUACAAAUGCAAAUACCAACUUUGCUGUGGUUUUUGUGCAAUAUUGUAUAUUUGCAAAGUUAUCUAUGCAGGGGGGGGAAAAACCCAAUUCAAUUUGAAUUGACUCUUUCUUGCCUAGUACAUGAAAAUCUUUCAGCUCUACGAGCCAUUGAAUCAAGCCAAACAGACAAAACUUAAGAAUUACCUUAUUAUGCAAAUGCAGGCCAGAUGCCUUAAUUCCAUUUUUUUUUGUUUCUAUAAAGAAAAUGAAACUACGGACCUAUAUAUAUGUAUGUACACUUCAAAAAACUCAAUUGUUCAACAGGGCCUGUUUCUCUCAGUGCUGCAACAAGAACCAGAAGUACGAUUAGCUGUAAGUUUUUCUGUAGUAAUUUGUUUGAUCAACUUUUUCGGUGAUGCUAAAUAUGUAAUUUCUGUUGUUAAGUAUUUCGUUUGCAUUUUUAUUAUAUGCAUUAUAAGGCAUGUGCCAAGUUCCCCUAAUAUACGAAGCAAAGCUCAUAGCAAGUUUGUUCAGUAUAAAAAUAAUCAUGACUGUCAUACUUUCUAAAUGGUCGCAGGGUUAUAGACUGAUAAAGGGAUUGGUGGUUCGGCAAUGGUGUCUGAUGGAAGUUUGUUCAAAGCAGGAUAUAAUUUCUAUAGUAACUGAUCCAAAGAUCGAGAGUACAAAACAGGGUUUGCUCACUUGCUUUAAUCAUCAUCUCUCAUAAUCAUUUGACAUGCCUUUUUACAUAAUUGACAAGUCAUGCACAUAAACUUUUAGUGGUUCUUUCAUUUCUGGUUCGAGAUUUGUUCCAAGAAGCUAUAUAUUAUAGAUACAUCAGAAAUUUCCCUUUUAACCAUUAUAUUGGAAGGGCUUGGUUGAAACUUUUGCUUCCUAUGAAAAAUAAAAUAAAAUAAAAUAAAAUAAAAUAAAAUAAAUGAAAAACAAAAAAAUGAAAAGUGAGACAUUUGGGCCUUGUUUGGGAGCACUUUCUUUCUUUCCCUUCUUUUUUUUUUGAAAUUCAAAAUUUAUGCAAUUGAAUGUGCCGGAGAAUGGAGUUCUCUAGCAUGUUACCAACUUAGUGUUGGUUAGCUGGCAAAGUCUUUUUUUUCCUUACAAAUCAGUAAAGAAAAAUUUGUAAAUCUUUGUUUCGUGUUGCCAAAGUUGCCAAACAAACAUCAUAAUUUGUAGAUUGCAAAAAACUUCCUUCUUUCGGUAGAUUCAUUAGCUUAGAAUUUGAGUUUAAAUAAAGAAAUGUUAGCAUGACCAAAUCAGGCCCCAUAUUGCAAUUUGAAGAAUUAUUGUAAAAUUCUUAUAGUCGAUUAAUGUUAAGUGCUGGUAGAUACUAUAACCUUCAUAGGAACUUCCACGGACUAUUUGUCAGCUUUUGUUAGAUAAAAUUUAGUGAAAGGUACAGGUACCAUCUUAAGUAUAGGUUAUUUGGAGACAAGUUGCUGUACUUCAGAUUCUUUUGAAAUGAACACCUCAGCAAGUAGCUGUGUUUGAGAAAAUCCAGUCAGGUCUGAGCAUAACUUUACAGAAAAGAAACUUUUCAGAUCAAAUUAUAAAUGAAUUGAGGAUUUCUUCUUUCUCUAUGAAGGGACCACAAAGGCCUAUAAUUUUUUUUUUUUUUAAAAGCACAAGUGGGAUCAAACCUUUGAUAUAUGGCUCCACACCCAAGUGCCUUACUACCUUAUAAGGUGGUUUGACCAUGCUAAUUAUUUAGGGCUUGAAAUCCUGAAAGUGGAACUCAGGAGCCUGUUUCAAAACUACCUCUUUGUACUAAUGAAUAAUUUUCUUAAUAUUAAGGUAUGGAAGCACGCCACGACUGUUGCAUGGCAAUAAGCAAGGCUCUAUCAGCAUCGAGUUUGCUUCAUGAUGCUACUGCUUCUGGAAUUGCUAGCAAGGUAAAUCAUUAUGUUCAACAACUCAAUUUGGCAAAGAGAGGGAAUUUGAUGGCUUUUUAAGCUUUAAAUAAGCAACAAAUUAAGCUUACUCACGCUUAUUUUUCUUCAGUUGCAGGAAGCAGUCAAAAGGGGCCCUUAUCUUGCGAAGAAGCACGUUGAAGCUCAGCCUCUUGUUGUCACCGCCGAGAGAUUUUGAGCUUGAUCUAAACUGUUUCAUAAAAGUGUUACCUUAAAUAUUUUGAUUGAUUCGCUGAUGUACGAAGGAAAAGUUGGGGUUUCAUCAUAUCUGAAUAUUUAUAAGUGAAUUAAUAGUAGAGAGCGAAAUAUCUAGAGAGAUUGACUGCUUGAUAUCUCCUUCAAACUGAGGAUAGUCUAUUUGAAUUUGGUAUUACUUUCCUUCAAUAUCUGGAUGGAAAAUAUUUAUACAAUCAGAGGGAGAUAUUGUUCAAAUAUUUAUCUCAGAGACGCUAAAUAUUUACCAUCCCUUUUUAAAACAAUUGUUUGUGAGUUGCUUCUGGCUGAUUGAAUAGCAGAAGUUUGUUGAUGAAUCACACAGUUGAUUUUGCGCCUUGUUCUGAGCUCUUAGGAAUGCAACCAUGGAAUCACAAGAUGAGAACAAGGGCUUUUUUUGCAUUUCGCUCCCUUAAAAUUUCUUUUUUUACAAAUAAUCCUAUCAAAUUUAUAAUUGCAAUGUUAGCUCAAUUUCCGUCAUGCAGGCGUCACAUCAACGCCACGCAAGCUUGCUGGGGAGGAGGGUUAAGUUGAACAGGUGAACCAUUCACCGUGUUCAAACACGGUGAAUGGUUCACCGUGUUUUAUAUUUAUAUUCUCCUUAUAUUUUUUCCGCACACGGUAAACCAUUCAUCGUGUUUCAUAUUUAUAUUUCCUUAGACACACUGAAUGGAUUACCGUGUUCAACUUAUUCCCGCAUCUCCAUCUUUGUUCGCGUGGCAUCUGCGCGGUAGGAAUAGGGUCAAGAUUAUAAUUAUAAAUUUGGUGGGAUUAUUUGUGAAAAUAAUUUUUUGAGGGGCCCAAAUGCAAAAAAAAGCCCUGAAAACAAAUUUAGUGUUCUUCUAUGUAGUAUUUGGGUUUUUUUUUUUAUUUUUUUAUUUUAUUAUUUUUUUUUUUAUCCCUUUCAACAAAACCAGGAAAUGCUUACAAGAUCUGCUAUUUGAUUUUAUAAGGAUGCAAAAAAUUGAGUGGAGCUCGAAUGGUAGUAACAAUAUGAAAAUAGUGUUUACUGUUAUCUUUUUAAUCAUUGGAUGUUUAGGGUUUGCUAGGGGAUGGUGGAAUAGUAAUAAUCCAAGAGUGAAAAAAUUGAUAGUAAACAUUACUAAUAUACUAUUAAAAAUUAGAAAAGAGUUUGACAACCUAUUUUGCAAUUUGGUUAUUAAAAUUGGUUUCAAAAAAAAGAAAGGUAAUAUUUUCAUUUAAAUGUAAUGAGUUACUCAACCUGGUUAAUUCACUUUGGCCCUAGUUGAAUAUUGAAAUAAGUUUUUGAUGAUAAUUUAUUAGGUAGGAAAAUUUUUUAUAUAAUUUAAAAGUAUGAUAUUGAUUUUUCCGUCUUAAAGGGCUCUUUGUCAUCAAUGAUUUGAUGGGAAAAUUUAAUUCACAUUCAAGGUGAUUUAUCUUUUUCUAGAUAAAUGACAUGAAGAUUGAAUAUAUUGUUCGUUUAUAGACAUUUGACUAUAUUCGUUGUGAUAUAUUAGACCUAGAAAUUGAAGGUUAGAAACUAAUUUUUUAUACGUUUUAGGAGCUGAUUUUGUGUGAUUUUUACGAGAAAGUUUUUGAGCCUGUCUAGGGCGUUGUGGCUGCCGUUCAGACUAGAAGAAUAGUAGCGGAUUACCUCGCUAUUCCGACUAUAUUUCUAUUCUUUGAAUUUGUGAUAUAGGUGGGUUCCGUAUUGUCAAAAUUGACGGAUUAAUUUCUAUAUUCAUAUUAUAUUAUUUAACCUAUGAGAUGAACUACUAAUAUAAUUAAGAUAAUAAUAAUAUUUUGUCACCUACCUGUAAAUUAUAUUGAGAUAUGCAUAUUUUUCACUAUUUUUCACCUACCUGUAAUUUGUGUUAUUUUUUUUGGAGGCCAAUAGAGAGUGACAGAUAGUGUGAGACUAUAACUAUAUUUGUGACAUUAUGACAAUAUUAUCAGGAUCUGUUUGAUUAUCACAUUUGAUUACAGUCUGCAUGUUAUUUUGAGCUUAACAUUUUGAGCUUGACAGUGAUGUUAUACUCAGUUGGGAUAGCGUUGCGAGUGCCACUCUGGAGGUUAGACUAUAAGUUAUUAUUAUGGCAUGAGUCAGAAAGUAGCCUGCGUGGUAGCGGACUAAUAUAGGUGGGUGUUGGACAUGAGGUGGUGCAGGCUAGAUCCGACUGUUGAAUCGGUCACUUGAUUGGGUAUUAUUGUAAUUUUUAUUCGGUAUUUAAUUGAUGUAUGAAAUAUAUAAUUUACAGUUUCAGUUAUAUUAUAAAGGCAUGAUAGUAGUAAUUCCUUUCGGCCAUUAUUUAUAUUAGUGACUGUUCAUUUAUACUGCCUAGUUAUUUACUAUUUCUGCCUCUUAUGGACCUAAUAGUGUAGAUCGUCGAUGUUGUCGACUAUAUUCACUGGGGAUUUUUUAUUAUAGUUCUCAUACCCUUUUUAUUAACAUUUUAUUUCAGGGCUUUUAGCACUAGCGACUGAUUGAGAAAAGGGAAUCACGGAUAGUUAGCAUCUUCUACCCUCUUUGUGUGUGUACCUUGACCACCUAUCAGUUUAUAUAGCGGCAUGUACAGUGUUUUGAGAUUUAGAAUGGCAAAAAAUGUUGUGCCAUUUUGAGGAUUGGUGUGGUGAUGACUGUAUAUUUACAGUGUUGCUACAGUACAUAGUUUAUUUUACUCUGAUACUUGUUGUUGUUAGAUUUUAGUUAGUUUUUUUCGGAACGCUUCGUAUUGUAUAAGGUGUAUCCUUGUGCAGGCGGGUUUUUUGACGUAACCGAGACUUUCGCUGUGAUCCAGGGCGUGACAUUCUGAGCUUUUAAUCAUAAUAAAAAAAAAUUAUUAUACCUAACAUGAUAUUAGUCGAUGACUUAUUCUGACAUUCAAAUAGGAUCUUAGACCUUAUUUGAAUAUUGGAAUAAGUUAUUUGAUGACAACUAAUUUGGUAUAAAGAUUUUUUUUUGUGCAAUUAGAAAGUAGAAGAUUGAUUUUUGCUCUCUAGAAGUCUUUGACAUUCAUGAUUUGAUAGGAUACUAUAUUUUAUUACAGUGGUGGUCCCUAAUCUUUGCAUACUUUUCAAUCUGGCCUCCAACUUCUUUUUUGCAAUUAAGUACCCAAUCUCUUGAAUUUAUUGCAAUCAGUUCCAAGCCGUUAAAAGGGGUGUAAAAAUUGACGAAAUAUUUCACAUCAGCGUCAAAGACAACUAAUUAUACAAAUUAAAUUUAAAUUUAAAAUCAAAUUCACAUUUUAAAUUUAUAUUUUAAAUUUUAAUUAUUUUUUGAAAUAAAUUUUAAAUUCAAAUCUAGAUUUUUUAAUUCAAUUUUAAUUUUAAAUAUCGAAUUCAAAUUUCAAAUUUGUCUAACUUGUGCACCAAUUUGUAUAUAAAUUUCUGUUAUGGCAGUGACAAUUUGUCAUUUUGCUAAUUCUACCAAAUCUCAAUGCCAAAAAUUUGUUGUGUUAGUCUAAAAUCUUUCACUUCAGAGGCCUUGCUCACUUCAUUCUUGAGUUUAUUAAUCCUAGCCUUACAUAUUAUGUGUAACACCCCCAAUAGUCCCACAUCGGAUGGGAUACUGAUUCCAAUCAGUUUAUAUGAGACCUACACGCUAGUAAUAAUAACUGGGUUUAAGCAUUUUGGGCCGGUGGUUGGGCCUAACGAGUUAUUGGUGCUAGCGGGUCGGGUCGUUGCAAUUGGUAUCAAAGACGAAUACUAGCCGGAGGUGUGAGAACUAAGUGCUAUGCGGGAUAAAGUGCUACACCAACGGGUUUGGUGGGAGCCACCUCUUGAACCCGUAGGAGCCACCUCUAGAAUCUCAGAUCGCCUGGUAUAGUCUGUCUGUCUGUGAUCUGGUUUGAACCCGACGAGGACGUCAGGGUCUAAAUAGGUAGAGUUUGUAACGCCCCCAAUAGUCCCACAUCGGAUGGGAUACUGAUUUCGAUCAAUUUAUAUGGGGCCUACACGCUAGUAAUAAUAACUGAGCUUAAGCAUUUUGGACCGGUGGUUUGGGUUCAACGAGUUAUUGUUUCUAGUCGGCAUUUUGGGCCGGUGGUUUGGGCCCAACGAGUUAUUAUUGCUAGUGGGUCGGGGCGUAGCGGAAGCGUGGUGGGCCCAUAACCCACAGGUCCCAGGAUCGAAACCUAGCUCUCAAUUUUAACGACCCGACCCGCUAACAACAAUAACUCGUUGGGACCAAACCACUGGCCCAAAAUACUUAAGCCCAGUUAUUAUUAUUAGCGUGUAGGGCUCAUAUAAACUGAUCGGAAUCAGUAUCCCAUCCGAUGUGGGACUAACCAGAUCACAGACAGACCAAGACCAAGACCAUUACCAGGCGAUGUGAGAUUCUAGAGGUGGCUCCUAAGGGUUCAAGAGGUGGCUCCCACCAAACCCAAACCCGUUGGUGUAGCACUUUGUCCCGCAUAGCACUUAGAUCUCACACUUCUGGCUGGUAACCUAGCUCUGAUACCAAUUGCAACGACCCGAUCCGCUAGCAAUAAUAACUCGCUGGGCCCAAACCACCGACCCAAAAUGCUCGCUAGCAACAAUAACUCGUUGGACCCAAACCACCGGCCCAAAAUGCUUAAGCCCAGUUAUUAUUACUAGCGUGUAGGCCCCAUAUAAAUUGAUCGGAAUCAGUAUCCCAUCCGAUGUAGGACUAUUGGGGGCGUUACAUUAUGAGUACGUCAUCCACAUACAAUACUAAAACCACAAAAGUGCCAUCUUUUAAGAAUCUUAAGUAGACAUAAUGAUCGAAUAUAGUUCUUUGGAAUUCAUAGCUUAACAUAAAAGUGUCAAACUUUUAAUACCAUUAUCUUGACACAUGUUUAAGCCUAUAUAAUGACUUUUUGAACUUUCAUAUAAGAUAUUUUUUUACCCUUCUUUUUUAAGCCUUGAGAUUGAUGCAUAUAAACCUCUUUUUCUAAAUUUCCAUAUAAAAAUACUGUUUUAAAAUCUAAUUCGUCAAGUUCAAAAUUAUUUAUAGCAACAAGACUAAAAACAAGUCAAAUAUAAACCAAUUUAUAGACAUGAGCACGUCAAAGAAAUCCAUACAUGCAUUUCUUUUGUAUGAAGUCUUUAGCAACCAAUCUUGUCUUAUAUCUUUGAAUUGUCUUAUAGCUUUCUUUUUUGAUUUAGUAAACCUAUUUACAACCAAAUGUUUUCUGGCUCUUUGAGUGUCAUUCUGGGCUUCUUUGUUCUCGAUGUUUUCACGUUCUACUCUUCUUGCCAACACAGUUGAUCAUCAAUGUGUACAUCACAACUUGUGAUAAUUUUGCUAGUCAUCGAAUCCAAUAACUGAUAUCUUUUCACACCUUUUGUAUAGCCGGCAAGUAUGCAUUUUGUCGAUCUUGGAUCCAACUUAGUUCUUUGACAAUUAGGAACCAAUGAAAAAGUACGACAACCAAAUAUUUUAGAUUAGAAUAAUCACAAGGAGUUCUAAACUAUAACUUUCGAAACAUAUCUCCUCCGGUUUUUCCAUCUGUAGCAAUGGAAGAUGAGCAGUUGACAACAUAACAAGCUAUGGAUAUGACCUCGGCCCACAACUCGUGCUCCAAACUGGCAUUAAUCAAAUGCUACAAGCCAACUCCAUCAGUGUAUGGUUCAUCCUCUUGGCCGCACCAUUUUGUUGUCGAUUAUCCGGAUUUGUAUUGCAUCUUAAGAUGCUAUUCUCUUUACAAAAGAGCUCAAACUCCUUAGAUUUGUGCUCGAAUCAUUGUCCGAUCAGAGAACUUUAAUGCGGCGCUCGGUGAGGUUCUCUACUUAGGCUUUAAACUGCUUAAAUGUUUGAACUGUCUCACCCUUAGAUUUGAGAAAUUUACCCAAACCUUCCGUGAGAAGUCGUCAAUUAGUGAUAUAAAAUAAUUGGCACCAUUAUAUGAUGUAGUAGGAGAACUUCAUGCAUUCAUAUGAAAGAAGUCAAAAAUACCUUAACUUGUGUGACUUCCAGCUUUUAAGCUCCGCUUAUGAUGUUUCUCAUAAACACAAUACUUAUACAAUUUUGAAUCACUAAAAGUAAUAUUAAGCUUCCUCUUUACCAAAAUCUUCGUAUCUUUCUCACUCGUAUGACCCAACCUCCUAUAUCAUAGCUAGAGAGGAAGGUCUUUAUUCUCCAACACCGCAAAAGCUUUAUCUGUUAUUGUACUUUCCAAUAAUGGAUACAAAGUUUCAAUCUGAAUGCCCUUCAUGAUAGGUGACAUUCCAAUAAUCCCACAUCGGAUAAUAUGGGAGAGUGUCAUGGAUUUAUAAGUGACGGACACACUAAUAAUAACAACUGGGCAUAAGCAUUUUGGGCUAGUGGUUUGGGCCAAAUGAGUUAUUAUUGCUAGCGAGUCGGGUCGUUACAUUAAUGACUGUUAAGAAUCGAUACCCCUUACCGAGAAUCGACGACUUAUGCAAUUAGCUUCGUGGUGCAGAGGUCUUUUCUAAGAUUGAUUUGAGAUCGAGACAUCAUCAACUAAAAAUUAGAGUCGAGGAUAUACCCAAAACAGCUUUUCGUACAUGUUAUAGGCAUUAUGAUUUGAGAUCGGGACAUCAUCAACUAAAAAUUAGAGUCGAGGAGACAUCAUCAACUAAAAAUUAGAGUCGAGGAUACCCGUGGGUCACGAACGCUAACACAAGUAAGAUUAUUAGCCCCAACGACAAAGCUAUGUUGGACGGAUGAAAAGUUGCAACAAAACGGGUAGCUACCUGCAGUGGUCCCACUGCACGGGAGAAUCAGAGGCAAAUAGAGAUGGACAGCUCGAAGAAAGCGCCACAUGCGGAACANUUCAUGGUUUCUCUUGGCUAUAUGGUUCAUCUGGGGGGGAGAUCGAGCUUCAAGAAAUAGUGAAUGGUCUUAUCAAUACACAAAUGUAUAACUCCCCAGGAAUUUCAAUUGCGCUUAUAUUCAUCACUGUAGGAAUUGGGUUCAAGCUUUCCCCAGCCCCUUUUCAUCAAUGGACUCCUGACGUAUACGAAGGAGUGCGGUUCGUUCGACAAAUUCCUACCUCUAUAUCUAUCUCUGAGAUGUUUGGAUUUUUCAAAACUCCAUAGACAUGCAGAAGAGAAUUAGCAUUGGCACUAAACUAAAAAUACUAAAUAUAAAUAAAGUAAAGCUAAUAAAAGAAGAUGAAUUCUUAGUAAUGCCCUUCUGUUUGACUAAUGCGCAAGACAUUUAUGGAUUUAAUGAAUAGGGUUUUUAAGUCUUUCUUGCAUAAGUUUAUGGUAGUUUUUAUAAAUGACAUCUUGGUGUUUUCUAGCAGUCCAACUGAGCAUGAGGAACAUCUCAAAAUAAUCUUGGACACGUCAAGAUAGAAGAAGCUCUUUACCAAAUUUUAGAUGUGAAUUUUGGCUUCAUAGUGUUUCCUUCCUUGGACAUAUCGUAUCUAAAGAAGGUAUUUCGGUAGACCCGAAAAAGAUAGAAGUUGUGGACAAUUGGUUGAGGCAUCCUAGCGUUAGCGAGAUUCGAAGUUUCUUAGGUUUCGCGGGAUACUAUAGAAGAUUCGUGGAAGGCUUCUGUCGCAUUGCGGUACCUUUGACUUGUUUAACAAGAAAAGAAAUCAAAUUUCAAUGGUCUGAUGAGUAUGAGCAAAGUUUUAAGGAGCUAAAGAAGCAGUGUGUGUCGGCGUCUUCUGCAACGCCCCAAUAGUUCCAAAUCGGAUGGAAAAGUGAUUCUGAUUAGAAUAUAUGAAGCCUCAACGCUAGUAAUAAUAACCGGACUUAAGCAUUUUGGUAGGUGAUUUAGGCCUAACGAGUUAUUAUUACUAGCGGGUCGAGUCGUUAUAAUUGGUAUCAGAGUCGAAUACUAGCCGAAAGUGUGAGUGGUAAGUGCUAUACGGGACAAAGUGCUUCACUAACGGAUUUGGUGGGAGUCACAUCUUGAACCUGUAGGAGCCACCUCUAAAAUCUCAUAUCGCCUGAUAAUUCUGGUCUGUAUUUCUGUGAUCUGGUUUGAACCUGACGAGGACGUUAGGAUCUAAACAUGGGGAGUCUGCAACGCUUCAAUAGUCCCAAAUCGGAUGGAAAAAGAGUUCUUAUUAAAAUAUAUGAAGCCUCCACGCUAGUAAUAAUAACUGGGCUUAAACAUUUUGGGCCGGUGGUUUAGGCCCAAUGAGUUAUUAUUGCUAGCGGAUCGGGUCGUUAUUGCUAGCGGAUCGAGUUGUUACAUGACAACCAAUACAUCUUUCGAGAAUUUAAAAACUCCACCUUGCUCGUCGAAUUUGUAGCCUUUAUUGUCCAAAUAGGAGAGAGAGGUCAAAUCUUUCUUUAAAUCCGAAACAUAUCAUACUUUCAAGCACCCGAACCGUUCCAUCAAACAUUCUUAUGCCUACUGAACCAAUUCCUAUUGUUAUACUAGUUCAUUUGUUUCCAUCAAAAUGGUAACACCAUCACAUUCCUCGUAGGCACUAAACCAUGAACGAUGUUGACAUAUAUAAUGAAUAGCACCGUUAUCAAGAAUCCAAUUUCGAUAAAAAAAAAUAGUGCUAGAACCCGCCAUUCAGACUUCAUCAUCAAUAACACCCGUUGUUGUCUCUUCAACUUGAUGUGCUUCAUUAUUCGAAUCCGAGUUUGUUUGGUGCUAUAACAUUUUUUGCCACUAAAUCAAUCCUCUGAUUCUUGGAUCAUGUACAAUGUUGUGUCCUAUAAGUAACCAUCAUUAUUUAUUUUGCUAAAAAAUUCUUGGUGCUUUUAGAAAAAAUCCAUCUUUUAUAUAUAUAUAUAUAUAUAUAUAGAGAGAGAGAGAGAGAGCUAGGCUGAUAUACUAUUGAUAGCACAGAAACCUCAGUACGUGCUACCAAGUUGUUUUCUUCCAAAUCGACGAUCGGUUACAUUAGACUUGAUUUUGAGCCACGUCGAUCACUAGACAAAUGAUAUCCAAAAAUCGCAAAAUUGUACCAUCGGCACGAAUACUAUAUUGUACCAAUAUCUUACUGACACGAUACGACAUAGUAGAUACAAACCGUGCCGACGGACACUUAAAUCCUUGCAUUACACUACUUAUCUAUAGAUGUUUUGGUCAUAUGUUUAGCUGUUCUUGAGUUUUUUAACUCCCACCUUUAAGAUUAUGAACUCUUGAAUUGUUUCACUUUGGCCCUAGCCAUAGAAGAAAAUUUAUUGCCUGCACCCUGACCGACGGGCCCUUCAUCCAUCUCAUACUUUUCUUUUCUUUUUUCUUUUUUCUUUUUUUUUUCCUUGCGCAAUGAAGGACCGACAAAAGAGCAGCGCAUGGACAUACACAUGCACUGGAUGUAGGCAAGAGAAUGUCGAAUGUCAAAACUAAAAACAAAAAAAUUCAAGGACCAAAGUUAAACAUCAGUUUGGGGACUAACAGUGCAAUUUACCCUGAUAAAAGUAUAUAUAGAAAAAGCUGUUGGAGCUCUGGGAGCAACAAUUCCAAACCAAAAUUCGCUUCAUGACAUGUUGCACAAAAAUACAAGGACCAAACAGCAAAUACAACAAAAUAAGCGAUGAAUUAUCUUGUUGAAAGACAAACAAUCUUUUAAACAGUAGCUGCAGGAGUGUACCAGCCAUGGUGGAUCUCCACAGCUUUCUUCCUCCUUGCGAGUCUCGACUUGCGAUGAGCCCCUGUGUUCCUAUGUAGUGUGCCGACCUUCACAGCCUUGUCGAUCACUGAAUAUGCUUCCGCUAUAAGCUUCUCUAUCGGAAGAAUCUCUUCAGCCUGAGCAUCGGCCUUCUUCUUAAGCACUUCUAGAGCUUCAAGGACCUAAAGAAGGCAAAAGGAAAAGCAAAGAUCUUGAGUGUCCUCUAACUUCUCUUCUGCAUCGUUAUGAAAAAUUUCCAUCCUAAGGUUUUCUUGCAUGUAAAAAAAUUAUUAAACCAGCUCCCUAUAAUGGUCUUUGAAGUUCAGACAUUGAUAUGCAAAAAGAACAAAUUGAGCAGUUUUAUGUGAAGUCCUGUUUGGUUGUUGGGCUUGGUUGCUUGGACAACCUCUUUAUUUUGAGAAGUAAUCAGGUGUAUGGCAAGCAAAAAGUUUGGAUCUCUUACUGAAGCAAAAAGUUGGGAUCUCUUACUUAGUAAAGCACGUGGCACUUUUGGAGAUUCUAAUAAAGAAGUCAUUAGUGCUACUUCAAAAAGCCUUAUUCAAACAACAGCAGACCAGGAGGAGCAAAGAGAUCAUAAAAAUUUCAACGUAUUAGAAUAGAAGUAUAUGUCGGAUCGACGGCGCUAACCAUUAACCUCAAAAGCUCGAGCUGGUAGAAAGAUACAACCAAUUCACUUCAAGCGUACAGACAAAGCACUCACGAGUCUUGACUGUGACUCGACCCAACCAGCCUCGCGCCACUUUGAUCAUGACUCCGCCCAACCUGGCAAACGUAACUCGGCCCUACUUAGCCUCCCGCCAUAGAGCAAGAAGCUAACUCACUUAAGCUAACAAUCCUCUCUCCAGCACAUGCACAAAUUUGCAGCAUGUAGGAACCGAACCCGUAACCUCUGGCUCUGAUACGACUUGUCAGAUCAUUGACGCUAACCAUUAAUUCCAAAAACUCGAGUUGUUAGAAAGAUGCAACCAAUUCACUUAAAGCGUACAAACACAAUACCCAUGGGUCUCGAUUGUGACUCGGCUCAACCAAGCUCACGUUGCUUUGAUCAUGACUCGGCUCAACCAGGCCUCACACCAUUUCAAAUGUAACUCGGCCCAACCUAACCUCCCACCACAGAGCAGGAUGCUGGCCCAUUUAAGCUAACAGUAUAAUCUGAACUAUUCUACUAGCAGCACACCAGAAGACUUGUGGCAACAAUAAUUGAUGUCCUUCUUAGUGCCUUCGUUUUACCAUUAUAUAUGUUAGAUAAUAGACAAAUUGAUAAGCGCAAAAAAUUUUUGAUCCCUUUUGCAUUUUUCCCUUUUAUCAGAGAUCAUACCAAGAAGCCACCAAGUGGCAUUCAUUAAGGGCUUGUUUGGUUCAAGGGUGGAAUUGGAAUGGAUAAUGGAAUGAGAAUGAAUUGGAAUGGUAAUUGGAAUGGCCCACUCCCCCAAGACAUUUGGUUUAUUUGUGGAUUGGGAAUUGGAAUGAGUUAUUCAUAUUUCAUUGUUUGGUUCGUAUAAAAUAAAAGAAAAUUAUAGGAUGCUAUAAUACUAAUUUUACUCUCAAAUAUAAAUUUAUAUUAUUUAAAAUUUAUGAAAAAUAUAAUACUAUUCUCUAAUAAAUUUUCCAAAAAAAAUAUCAAAUUUAUUUUUAAAAUUUUUUAUUGAUGUGGGUUAGAGAGGGUUUUGAGAGAGGAUAGGUUUUUUUUUUUGAUGAGAAAGGGGUGAAGAGAAGGAGGGUGAGAUGGUCACACGGGCUUCGAGAACUUAGUGGGCUUCCGGAAUGAAAUCUCAAUCCGAGCUAGAAGACCGGAAUCAAGUUCAAGGCUAAUGGGUCAUUCCCAUUCCAGUCCGGAAUAGAAAUCCCAAACCGAUUCAUGCAAACCAAACAAAAUUAAUCGGAUUUGAUCAAACCAAUUCCCAUUCCAUACCCAAAAUGGAUGAACCAAACAAGCCCUAAAAGUAAACAAGCAAUUCAUUAUUGCAAUAGAGUCUCAAAUAGUUUUGAGUACAAUAAUGUAUAUCAGGAUUCAAAUCUUCAUGGGAUGGGAAAGACCUCUAACGAUUCAUUUACCAAAAUUUGUGUUUCGAGAGAUCAAAUAUUCUAGACCUAAAGUUUUUCUCAAUGCUAGCAGAGUUCUACUCCAAUAUUCAGUAUAUAGUUUUCUAAAGGAUAAAAUAUACAGUCUGCCUAGUAUGAUCUCAAUUAAUCCUGUAGCAUCAUUCAAUCUGGGCAUGUAGUCACUUGGGCACUUCCUAAGAUGAGAUUUGCAGCAACGAAUUUUCAUCCUCCCCAUGGUUUCGUCAGUGAUAUACCAACACAACCUUAACAUGUACGGGCAGAUGGGUCUCAGGAGUUUGAAACGAAGAUACUCAAGCCUGGAAUUCAGCCUAUUUAACGUUCGUGGCUGUUGUAAAGAGGAUGGGGUGAAUAUAUAAUAUGUAAGCAAUUAAAUCUUCCUUCGCAUUCAGAUUACUGCCAUCACAAUAUAUUUUCUUUACCCUUAACUUUGGUCCAGACAGUUGCCUCACACUUAUAGGGCAUGUUUGGUUUGCACCUUUUUCACCUUAGAAUUGGAAUCGAAACGGACGAAUCCGUUUGUCCGUGUUUGGUACGCGAGAUUCCUAUUCCGAUUCCGAUUCCCAGGGGAAUGGGAAUCUCCCCAAUUACCCCUCUUUCCAAUCCAGCCUAGGAGGCGGGAUUGGAAAUUGAAUCUGGGACGGAAUGAAUUUAUUCCAAUUAAAUUUAGCUUUUUAAACUUUUUUAAUUAAAACAUAAGUUUAAGUUUACAAAUUAUAUUUGUAAAUUUUAAUUUUAAUUUUAACUUAAAUUAAAAAUUAAAAUUCAAUCAAGCAUUUCGAAUCUAAUUUAUAAAUUUAAAUUAAAAUUUAAAAUCUAAAGUUUUAUUCAAAUUUUAUUUAAAAUUUAAAUUAUGAAUUCAAAUCGAAAUUUAAAUUAUAAUUUUAAGUUUAAAUUUGAAUAAAUAAAAUUUAGUUUUAUAUUUUGAAUUAUCCAUUAAAUUUCAAAUUUUAAUUUUUUAAAAAAAUAUAUUUAAAAUUUUGACAUCAUUUUAAAACUUCGGCGUAAAUUUUUAAUAUUUACUUUUCAGUUUGAAUUUAAACUAAUAUAUUAUAAAGAUAAAAUUGACAUAUUAAUUUGAUUACGUUUCUGAUAUCUAUCUAAACCAAACACCGACAAUGAGAAUGGUUCAUUCUGAUUCCGAUUCAGGUGGCAAAUCAAACAGAAUGAGGUAAUAAAUCAUUCCGAUUCCGUUUCCAACUUAUUUUCAUUCCGACUCCGAUACCGAUUCCGACUUCGAAUCAAACACACCCAUAGUUCACUGUCAUUGUAUUCCAAUUUUUCAUUGGAUCGUCUAUUUUUCUUGCAAUUUUUGGUCCUUUCAUAGCUUUUCUUUUCAUUUUGCUAAUUUGCAGUGUCGCCAUUUUGUUGCACUUAACUAGGACAAGGACUGAAAAUUCUGCCUACUUGGCAGAGAAUCAAGUUUCAGACAACAAUUCGUAACUUUAUUUUCUAAAUAUGAAUUAAAAGAGAUGACAUGAAAGUUAAAUGGAGGAAGUUGACAUGCUUUUCGAUUCCUCCUGUUGAAACAUCUCAUAACCUUGGAGAUUAUUUCAAAGACCAUAAGACCAAGAUGUCACAUGUAUCAAUUUAUCUAGGCAAUACAGAUUCUGGAGAAGACAAUGCAUAUAGAACUAGAAACUCAAGGUCUACAAAUAUAAGCAACAAAGAAGUCCAUAAUGCAUCACAUCGAACAGAGAAAGCUGGGGGAUCGAAUUAAAUGACAUUCACACAUGCAAAGGAUAAGAGCUUAACUUUAUCAAACAUGAACUAGAGCAACUUCUACUCUUCUUGUGAUCAACAUGUCCAAAAAGGCAACGCUAGAAAAGAAUAUAUAUACUAUGCAAAUUUUAAAUACCUAGCCUGAUUGGAUUCUACAAGGUCUUCUCUCUUUAACUAGUGAUAAUCAAUAUAUAGAGUUAAACGAAGGUUAAAUUUAGAAGAAUCAAAGGGUUAAUUACACUAUACUACAUGGGACUUUAGGAUUUAUUCACUUAUUAUAUUGCAUUUCUUUUUCUGUCAAACUCUUAGUUGAGCAUUUGAUUCUACAACAGUUCCUCUACUUCAUUAACAGAUACAUUAGAACCAUGUUUGCUACUAACAGCUUUCCCCGAGGUGUCUUUGAAUGAGAAAAUGGAAAGCAUCGAACGGGAAAUCCAUAGAUUCUAUGUAGAUACACUCUUCUAAGGUUUGCCUCUGAGAUUAAUCGUAGAGAAUUUGAAAUCUCAAAGUUUUCUUACCAAUCAAACAAAUCAAGGAUUUAAAUGCCCAUCGGGACGGGUCGUAUCCACCAUGCCGUAUCGUGCCAGUAAGAUAUCGGUACGAUACAACCCUCAUGCCGACAGCGCAAAACUCUCUAUUCCUUAAAUUGGUAAGUAAUUUUCUUAAAAAAAUCAAAAUAUUCGAUAAAAAUACAUAAUAAACGGUUGGAGUAUUUUGUUGCUAAAGAAAAUAAAUAGUUUAUGCCAUUAUGUUCCGCCACACUUAUAUUUUUUGUGACCAGCACGCAUCGGCAUGCACCAGACCGUACAGUGCAGCAAGUUUCCGGUACGAACUUAAAUCAUUGAAAUAAAAGAUUUUCUGAACAUCUCCACCGAGCAAUUCAAACCACUGUUAACCUAGCCUAAUAUCAGAGACUAUUUGUUACCUAAGUGUAGGAGUUCUUGUUUAAAAUAGAAGCACAGAUGAAAAAGUAAAACUAGCGAAGGAGAGUGCGAUCAAGCGAAAGGGGUCAAGAGAAAGACGGGGGACCUUCCUCAUCCUGGUCUUGAUCUCGGACUUGCGCGCCUUGUUGUAAAUCCGCCGUUUCUCCGCCUGCCGAGCUCUCUUCGCGGCCGAGUCCGCCUUCUUCGGCGCCGCCUCGCACACCACCGACCUGCGCGGCGGCGACGACUUGGGCUUCUCUACCGCCCUCGGAGGAGAGCCGAAACCACCUUUCCAGUAGAAAUUACAGGAAAAGAAUCGAUCAAAUAAUUCUAAUGAUGAAGUAAAAGAGAGAGAGAGAGAGAGAGAGAGAGAGAGAGAGAGAGAGAGAUACCGUUGGGGAAGGCGAUUAGGGAGAGAUUGGAGGAGAAGGCGAGGGAAGCGAAGUAGGGACCGCGAACAGGGACAAAGCGGGAGAUGGUGUUGGUGGCGGAGAGAGAGGAGAAGGGUUUUGCUCGGCGAUAUGAGGAGGAGGAGCAGGAGCACGAAGGGAGAGCGAAGGAGGCCAUGGCUUUGUUCGGAGCGCUCUCUCUCUCUCUCUCUCUCUCUCUCUAUCACUUUGUCAUCCGCUGGGGAGUGUGCGAGAGUACCCGGCGCGGAUAUCGUACUCGGGCUUUUUUAUAAAAUGACCCUCCAGAAAUUGGUUUUUGGCAAAAUAACCCUACCAAAAUUUUAUUUGUAAAACUAACCCUCCUUUCACCACGUGGGCGAGACGUCAGGGAUUCCUCAAAAAGACGGUGAAUCAUUCACUAUUUUUGUUAUAUUUAUUGUGAAGGCGGUGAAUGGUUCACCGCCUUCAUAAGGCGGCGAAUCAUUCACUAUUUUUAGUACAAAUCACUACUCUGAUGCGCAAAUCUUUCUAAGUUCAGAAUAUGGUGUUCUUAAUAAGAUGGUGAAUCGUUCCCCGUGUUCUCGAGGGCACGGAAACGGCGGACUUGAAAGGGCGGAAAGGAAGAAAGGGGGGAAAGGAGAUUUUGCACUAAAGGCGGUGAAUGGUUCACCGCCUUCUGAAGGCGGUUAACCAUUCACCGCUUUUACAACAAAUAUUAUAAAGACAGUAAACGAUUCACCGUCUUUGUAAGAAAUCCUGACGUGGCGCCCACGUGGCGAAAGGAGGGUUAGUUACAAAUAAAAUUUUGGCAGGAUCAUUUUGCCAAUUUUGAGUUUCUGGAGGGUCAUUUUAUAAAAAAGCCCAUCGUAUUCUGUGGCACGUGCGCAGCACCUGCUUUUGAGAAACAGGCCUGCUAACUAAGUAGCCGCUAUACCGCGUUAUUUAUAUCUAAUUAAUCAUAUUUUUUUUAAAAAAUAUAUAUAAUAAAAUAUUUUUAAAAACUUAUUAUAGAAUGUGUGAACCUAAAAGAACAAUUUAAUCGGAUGAAGGCACUAUAUCUGCAAUGUGACGACUGUAUAAUAGAUUUUUACUAAGUGGGGUUAUGAUGUAAGAUUAAACUCAAAAAAAUGUUUAAAGCGAUGUUUCUAUCUGUGUCCUUGCACGAUAGGUAUGAAACAUACGCUUUACAUAUUUAAAUAUCCAUUUUUUGUUUUAUUAAUUUUUUAAUUAAACUUUAAAUAAAAUUUUGUGAACUUUAUAAUGUAAAAAUAUAUAUAAUUUACAUCUAUAUAUGUGUGUGUAUAGUACUUUUUAAAUGUUAAAUUAUAAAAAUGAGCUUAGUAAAAAUUUUAGUUAUAAAAAUAUAUGUAAAAUGUGUCAUAUACAAGUCUCCAUGUACUUAGAAACUGAUAAUAUUUUUAUUUACUGCAUGAAAAAAUAUAAAGAAAGCAAUAAAUAAUUCACUAUACGCUUUUUAAUAACAUCUCUCUCCCUUCCCUCAUCUUCUUUAUAUUCUCUGUUUAGAGGGGCCCAUCCCCCACCUAUCCUUUUUUUUAGCAAUUAGAGAAAUUCAUGACAAUCAUUGACAACUUUAUUUAAUAUGAUAUUAUCUUAUAUUUGUAUCUUAUAAUUCCUCCACCCUUAAAGUCGUUUUUCGUACACGACAUAUCUAUCUAUAUAUCUUGAUUAGGAAUAAUAAUGGAGAUAGAUUAAAGAAAGUGCCAUACUGAUCAAUCCUAAAUGAAACGAAAUAAUAAUUGAGGUGUAUAUGUGUCACGCCCUGCCCCGAAAUCACUACCAAUUUGGCACGAUUCGGGCGCGCCGAGUGGACUGCCGAACGGACAGCACCUCCCCUGUCCGCCAAAGGCUCACAACAAGAAUGUGUACAAGAAUUUUUCAGGAAUUUAAAUUCUAAACAUACACAUUCAACGGGGCACAAAUAGUGCCAGCAAUUACGAGAGCAAGUAAUCCACAGGAAUAACAUGUGAAAUAAAGAGAGUACCUUACUAACUAUUACAAUAGUUUUGCAUCUUUUUCAUUUACAUCAUUUUCUUUAAAUGAUUACAUCAUUCAUCCAAAAUACAUAGCUCUCCAAAUCCUCACCUACAAUGAAUCUCUCAAAUACAUAGGUGUGCUAAUGCAAAAAGAAAAGCUACUAUACUACCACGGUCUCACUGAUCGGGCGCGAUGCCCUUGCCGCGGUCCUCUCUCCGCAGCCUUGUACCUACCACUGGAAAUAGAGUGGGGUGAGAACUAUCUUCCAUAGUUCCCACUGGGCUCGGCCGCCGACUCUGCCGAUCUCCCCACUAGGUCCAAGUGGGCACAAGCAACAACAGAUAGAUAGAUAGAUAUCUAAAAGCUGUAAAUGCGAUAGUAUGAAAACUAUGCUACUAUGCCCAUAAUCAUGUGUAAUGAAUGCAUGCAUCAUAUAGUAAAGGUUUACUAUCAUGCUGACGAAUUCGAUCCAUAUUCGAAUAAUAAUGUUCAAUGACAUUGUUCACUGUUCUUUUACCCAAUCUGUAGCGAAACCCUUGGGUUCGCCAAUAACUCACCUUUCAAUCCCAAAGUGGGGAGGGAGCUCCAAGUGCACCCAAGCCCGGGACCAUCUGCGGACCUCUAUGUGGUCCGGACCUCCAAGUGGUCCUAGCCGCGCGACACUCCUGAGUACUCGACGACAAUCCCCUCCAUGUGGGGAUAGGAUGACUAUACCACCCCAGAAGCAGACCGUGAGCUAGAUCUAUCCUCUCCAAGUAAGAAUAUACUACAACUAGGGUCAACAACCCAAUCAAAUCCUCUCCAAGUGAGGAUGCCCUACAACUAGGGUCAAUGUCUCAAUAACUCAUCGACAACCUCUCCAUGUGAGAGUACUUAGGUUUACUAAGUUCUUUAUCCACAAGGCAUUUUUUAAGGGAUCCAUCUAUCCCUAGGUUCUCAAACCUCUAGUGUCAUUUACACUACAUUAAUGCCACUCGUUAUUCUUUAACAUUUGGAUGCCACUCGUUUGUUCUUUAACAUUAAACACUACUUUCUAUGUCACCAACCCCCAUCGGGUUCAUCUCUUUUCUUUCGCAUCAUAGGAUCCACGUUCCGACCCAAUCCUCACCUAUCUAAGUUACCGAGCGUUCCAAGUACACUAGGUUAUCAAUUAGAAAGCAUAAGGAAUGGAGCUAUUAUGCAAUCUUACAAUGCAACAUGUAAGAGAUGAGAUUAAAUGCAAUCUAAAACAUAGAAAGGAGUUCGAAAGCUUCGGGAUGGCACCCCCCCACCUUUUAUCGAUGUAGAGGCCUUAGAAACGCUCCUCGGCGCACCUUACGACGAGGUCUCAGCCUUUUUGGUCCAAGACAAGGCUAAAUCGGUCGUAUUUCGCCGAUCCCAAUCCACUCGACGAAUCACGAAAUCGACUUCGCCCCCGCGUUUUGUGACCUACCAAUUAGAUUUACAAUGCCUCAAAUGAGAUCAAUCUCAUGCUUUACCAAAAAUCCCAUUUUGGGUGCCCUAGGGUUCCCGCCUUGUCAUUUGCAAUUUGGAACCCUAACUCUUGCUUUGAUCCACCAACAAUGGUGCUAGGGGUCCAUUUGACCCCAUUUCCAAAGCUCAAAACCCAAAAAACCUAAGUUCUACAAGCUAGGGUUUGUAGCUUACCUCUUGAGCUACACCAAUGGGAAGAGGAGAGGGAGAUGGAGAUGUUUAAAGCCUUCUCCUUAAUCUCCUUCUUCUUCUUCUUCCUUUUCUUCUUCUCCUUUUCCUUCCUCUCCUUCUUGUUCUUCUUGUGCUUCUUGUCUUUCUAGGGAGAGAGAGGGAGACAAAUGAGAGUGAUGGAGUGAGGGGAAUGAGAGAAAUAGAGAGAGAGGCCUCUCCCUUAACCCUUCUCAUGGUCAUUUUGCACUUAAACCCCUCAACUUUCUGUCCCUUACGUAGUCUUCACUGGGCAGAGUUCGCGCGGAGGGACCGGUCUCCCCGACUUAGGACCGGUCCCCGAGGGCCUCUCUCGGGCGCACGCGUUCGGGAACCGGUCUCUCCCCGGGAGACCGGUCCUCGGGAGACCGAUCCUCGGGAGACCGGUCCUUGCCUGAGAGACCGGUCCCUGAGAGCUCGAUUUUCAGGACUUAGCCAAAUUUCAACAUUUCUCGCUGGGACCACGUUCGGGAACUGGUCCUUCCCUGCCAGGGACCGGUUGCACCAAGCAACCCCGCUACACCCAGCCGAUGGAACCGGUCUCUCACCUCCAGAGACCGGUCCCCGAGAGUAAUAUCAGCCCAAUGAUGCAGUUUGCAGCAUUUUCUCUCGUGGACUCAACUCCAAGGCACUCUUCGUGCUUUGGAUAUCUCCAACUUCCCCAAAGGGUAUUCUCUCGACAAAUAGUCGAUCCUGGACGAAGUACAACUCUCAAAUUUCGAGAAUUCACUUCCUUACAAUAUGGAACGCUUAUCUCGACAAAUCUGAAAUAGGCAAAUUGUAACAGGGUUACAAUCUCCAAAGAGAGAUGAAUUUAUGCUCAUGAAUGUUUUACAAAUAAGACUUACGUCACUAGCUUCUUUGUUAAAAUUAUAUUAUCGAUACUUAGGUUUAGAUUAGAGACCUAUUGGCGGUUUCACAAAAUUAAGGAAAAGUAGAAAAACAAUACUAUGGAUGAGAUGUGUAUUCGAUAAUAAAAUAUUUUCAAAGACAAGUAUUUGUAUAAGAGAGUUUAACUUAUCAUUGAUUCAAUACAAAAAUGAGUUUAAAAUUUAUCAUAUCCAAACCAUUUGGAAUGCCGCCUUCAUAUUUGCUUUAAAUUCAUCCCAAAUUCAAAUCCCUCCUGAUUUACUUCAAACAUAUAUCAUUAAUAGAUAUAACAUAUUAAUAGAAUAAAUAGAUUAAAAAAAUAUUUGUAUCUUCUGAUUUAUAUUAACGGCUGAAGGAUAAAUUUCGUAAAUAAGAUGGGAACAUCCACAAAUCUCUAAUAUAAACUAGAGAUCGUUGGCUACCAAUAGUAAUUCCUUUGCUUCCAAAUAAUUCAAUACUGAAAAAAAAAAAAUCACAUUAAAUUCAAUGUUUUGUUAUCAUCAAAAUCUUUAAGCCGUGAAGCUAACAUUUUUUAAGCAAAAAAUAGCUGAAAUAUUAUAGUACAAUAACUAAUAAUAUUGGAUCAAAAAGCUUUGCUCCUACAUCAAGAACAGAAUCACCAAUUAAGAAAUAAUGAUUGUGAUUCUACAUGGACACAUCUCAUAGUUUGUCUGUGAAGCUAUCUUUGAAUUUUGGAAUACAGUAUGUUUGGAGAAGUCAUUAUUAAAUUUUAGUAUAGAGAAUAUUUGGAGAAAGAGAUUAGGAUAGGAUUAGUGUCAAAAUAAUUAUAUCUACCAUUAGUCUGUUAUUUGGUGUAUAGGAUUGCAAGAAAGUUGCUUAACAAACAAUGAGAAAGUAUGCUAGAAAAAUAUCUUAUUUAUUUUCAUACAUAAUAUUACAUUCUACGUAUUGCUAAUGAAUCGGUUAUGAUAUAUUUUCUACAGUCCACCUAAAAAAAAUAGAAGCACAUUUCUAUAUGUUUCGCGGCAACUUUUAAUUUAUCUAUUAAUAUUAGACUAGUGCAAUGACCCGCGCGAUGCGGCUGGUAGAUAUUAGUACAGUCAAUUAUAUAUGCUUAUUCUUCUCCUGCUAAAAUAUUAUUGUAUAAUGAUGUAUUUUAUUUUUUCUUAAAAUAAAUUUUGAUUAGUUGUAAAGAAGGUGAAGAAUGUCUUAUAGAAUUACCUAGAAAAUAAGAUAGUAGAAAAAAAAAACAAAAUUAACUAAAAAUACAUAACAAAACUAACUAAAGAAGUAAAACUCUAAUACAUGUAGAAUAAAUCUUUUAGAGCAUAUAUUUAGAAAUAAAAAUAUUUGGAAAAAUAUAAUUUUUUUUUUCUUAGUUGUAACUAUGAUUCCAAAUAUAAUUUAUAAAGAGAUAUGUAUUUGUAUUAUAAUUAAAGUAAAUUAGAAAUAAUACUUGAGCUCAGAUAGUUUGAUUUUCAUCAGUGACUGUAGAAGGAUUAUAAUAAAUGUAAGAAUUGCCAUUAGACUACCAAACUUGCUUUAUUAUAAAUAACAUGAUUUACCCUAUUCUAAUAAAAAAAUUGAAAUAUCUAAUAAUACUUAUUAUUAUUUUAUUCGCUAGCUAUUCAGGCAUAGUAAAAAAAAUGUGCUAUAUAAAGAUGCGUACAUUCAUCCAAACGUUAUCUAAGUUAUUCAAUGAUCAGCAAGAAUUCCGGACCACUAUUUUCUUUUUUUUUUUAACAAAAGGACUUGGCAUUAAGUUUGUGGUUAAAACUUAUACAUGUAUAUCUAUGUCCAUAAAUACAUUUAUCUAUAUUUGAAUGUCGUAUGCAUUCACAGAAAAAGGGACUAUAUUUUGGAACAAAUAAAAUUUUAAACUACUAAGACAAUUUUCAAUUUGACUUUUGCAAUCGAUCAUUUAGUAGCAUGAAAGUUUUAAAUCAAGAUAUAAUCUUGAUAUCCAUCAAAACAUUCUACUAAUCAUAUAUUAUCUACAGUACAUCCUUAUAAAUAGGAAGGAAGCAUUAUAACAAAUAUAAAAGUUGGAUAGUAAGAAAAAUGAAUGGAGCUGAAACCUGCUAACUUUUCCAGACUUGCAAUUCUCUUUUCAUGCAAAUUUUUAAUUUUAACUAAUCGUUUUGAAUAUAUUUUCUGGUCAAAAAGGAAAAAUAUAAAUUUGCAUUAAAUUAUAAGAUAUCGCAAGCAUAUAAAUGACAAACUACCGUCAAUUCUCUCAAAAUAGCAUCCGGAUCUUACAAUUUAUUUUGCUUAUCUCUAGCCUUAUCUCCAGUAGUAUGCUUAUUUCCUAGGAUAUGAAAAAGUAAAAGAGUGCUUGGGUUUGCAUCCUUUCUUGCACUAAGGAAAGCCAAUUUACUAUUGCUUUCUUUCAACUCAGACAGUAGUUGCCAACUCCUCUAAACAAAAUUAUAAGAGAAAAAUAUCAAUAGCACAAAGUAUGCAUAAUGUGUGAGUGCUUCAGUAGAUGCUACCAAUUAAGCAUUCUAUAGUAUUAGAAAUUAAGUCGACAAAGGGCUUGGUGGUUGGUACCCGAGACCCAAGUUCGAAUCCUAGUUGAUUCACAUUUCUAGCUAAGUUUAUUUCUAAAUGAAAUAAAUGAAGCAGGUAGCGUGCUACCUAUCUCUCUAAAAAAAAAAAAGAAAUAAAGCCGACAGUGAAUGUGCACAUACAUUGCAUCCAGUGCAAAUGGUAGUACGAUCAAAAAGCUAUCAAGAAGGACGUCGCUGCUCCCUUCCACGCCCUCCAAUGCUGUAUCUACUGUUAAAAAAAAAAAAUCCCUACUAUUUUUAUGUCUAUCAAUAACUGGCCUUCAAAGUCUAUGCCUAUCUCUAUAUACUGUUGUAUAAUUUAUCUAUUAUUUGGUGGUAGUCUAGACUGCUAGCAAUUAUCAAGAGAAAAGAAAGAAAUAACCAUUUUACUAACUAUAUACAGUAACUUUCACAAAAACACAAGUAGAUAUAAAGAAAAUUGCAUAUAUAAAUGACUAUAUUUCUACAUCAUAGGGAUUAUAAGUUAUGUAUGUAGUAUCACAUUUAAUCAAAAUAGACAUCUAAUGCAAAAAAGGCAUAAUCAAAUCUAAUCAAAAUAGACAAAUAUAGACGUAAUAUUGUUAAUAUCACAUAGCAAGUUAAGUUUAUUUAAUAAAGUUGACGAUGUUGUUCAUGCUGUUGGCAUUACUGUUUCAGCCGAGGUUGAUGCUUAUUUUGUUAAAUAUGGCAAAAAAAUAAAAUUAUUAAAUAAAAAUCACAUGUAAAAAUAGUUUAAUAUAUCUUAAUAUAUUUUUUAAAAUAUAUAUAAUUAUAUAUAAAUAUAUAUUUAUAUGUAAAUAGAAAAAUCAAAAAAUUGAAUUAAUUUAAAAGAAAAGUAAGCCAAGCUAUUUUUUGUUAAAAAAAAUUAACAGGAGGAGGAUGAAGAAGUGUCUUUUCCAUCUUUAAAUUAAAGCUCUCCAAUUUCGUAAAGUGUAAAAAUAAACAUUUAUAUUAUAAUACCUAAUAACUUAUUUUUAUUUUUCAUUUGAAAUUUCAAGUUACAAAUAUGCAAAGUAGAAAAAGUCUAAAAGAUGCAGUUAUAGCAUCUGUACCAACAGAAGUACCACCAUUUCAAAAAGAAAUUUCAAUCUGAGAUCGAAAAAAGGCCGAUCUCGUAAUGGGGGAAAGAGGAGAAGAAGAAGCGAAGCCUGUAAACUAAAAGAACCUAUAUGAUUAAGUUCAUAAUACCUAAUAAUUUGUUUUUAUUUUUCAUUUGAAAUUUCAAGUUACAAAUAUGCAAAGUAGAAAAAGUCUAAAAGAUGCAGUCAAAGCAUCUGUACCAAUAGUAGUACCACCAUUUCAAAAAGAAAUUCCAAUCGAAGAUCAAAAAAAGGCCGAUCUCGGAAUGGGGGAAAGAGGAGAAGAAGAAGCAAAGCCUGUAAACUAAAAGAAACCUAUAUGAUUAAGUUCCUUAAAUUCUAAAAUUUAUUUAUCAGACCAAUAUAACAGAAUUAAAAAUCAUAAAAAAAAACCUAGAUAAUACUUGAAACUAAGAAUUUUAAACUGCAAGCAUAUUAAACAUUAGUUUUAAAAAAAUUUGAGAAAAAAAAGUGUCACGCCCCGGAUUACUCGUUUCCCCGGGCUCGCUAAUAGACCCGCCGUAUACAUAGGUAUUUUUCCUGUAUACGAAGCGAAAAAGUAGAAGUACCUGUAAGCAUACAAUACUACAAACAGUAGUAUAGAGCAGCUAGGAAAAAUAAACCAUAUAUAAAACUGUGGUUCAAUACAUACAUGUGAUCCAGGUACACAAAUACUCGCUCUGGCGAGAUAACAACAACUGUAUGUAAAGACCCAAAAAACUACAACUACCUGUAGCUGGUGUUCCUCUAGCUCUGCGACUCGACUCGAAGGGCUCUAAUUCGCGACGCCCUUGCCACGAUCAAGAUCAGCAACAGCAGCAGCCGAAGGCGACGGCUCUACAAAACAGUGGUAACAACUGGGCGUGAGAACUACUACAAAAAGAAGUAGUCCUCAGUGGGUACCGCCCUCGAACUCAUCGGUCCACCCACUAAGUCUACAGGGAUAAGCAGGAACAGUAAAGAAAACUGGAACAAAUCUACAGCUAUAUGCCACUAUACUAUCAUGCUUUAACUCUAACCCUCUGUAGAACAAUGUCAACUCAGACCCAAUCUCAAAUAAUGACUGUAAUCAUACCUGUCCCUGGGACUGUGAACACACCCGUCCCGCCCGGUUGCGACUAUACAGUUACCUCCACACUAACCAGUCCAUGGAGAGCAAGUCCAACCUACACGAACGACACCAACGCAAAAGCACAGCGCCCGUCUCCGGAGUGGCACUCGUGGGAGCUACCCAAUCGAGUAUGCAGCGUAUCUCUGUCGAGCUCAAUCAGGCUCUAACAAGCCAAAGUCAAGUAGCUAGGGUCAAAACAGGUCUAGAAACCAAACCCAUGUGCCCUCAGCACAAUCUGAAACCAAAAACAGAAAUCUGAGGUCAAUCUCGGAAUAGGGGAGAGAGGAGAAGAAGAAGCAAAAUUGCAAACUAAAAUAAACCUAUAUGAUUAAGUUCCUCAAAUUCCCAAGUUUAUUUUUUAGACCAAUGUAAAAUAAUUAAAAAUCGUAAAAAAAAAAAAACUUAGAUAAUACAUGAAACUAAGAAUUUUAAACCUCAAGUGUAUUAAACAUUCGUUUUUAAAAAAAAAUCAAGAAAAAAAGUGAGAAAUGAUAAAUUAUCUAAAACCUAACUUCGACUUCGUCGCAAGUGGAAAUGUGUUGUUUCGUUCGAUAUGAAGAGAGGCGGUUCGUCGCCGUGAGGUCGGAAAGGAGGAGAGGUGGUAGGCGAAGGAAGGGAUGGAGAGGGAGGAGAGGGGAGGGAAGAGGAGGGCGGCAGAGAGGAGAUGAAGGGACGCGUGCGAAAAAAUAGAUAAGGGUACGCGUGCAGGGAGUUUGAUAAGGGGAGCGCGGGGAGAUGAAUCGGUAGGAUAAUAAAGAGAGAGUAGAUUCACCAAUCAAAAAAAAGAGAAAACACUAAUAAAAUCUCAAAAAAAUAAUAUAAUGCCACAUCAGCAAUAAAUACAGGAAUUAAUUAUAGUUUAUAGAUUAUAGAUUUAUAGAUUAUAGAUAGGCCUCAAUAUCAUCUGAAAAUUUAUGACACUAUAACUGACAUUCAUAAAUUCUGUCAAAACCAUGUAUUUUUAAUCACGAAAAAAAAAUUAAGAACAUGUUUGGUUCAUAAAUAAAAUUAAAUUGCAUAGGAAUAAAAUUGAAAUGACGAAUAGUUUAAAAAUAUUUAAUUCAUUAUUACAAUGAAAAUUAGAAUGAACAAUUGACAUACCCAAAAUUUUGAGAGAAAGCUUUGGCUAAAAGAGGUGAAUGAAGAAAGAAGGGAAGCGCUUGUGAUACAGAACUUAAAAGGGGUCUACUCUGAAUGAACUGAUUCAUGAUUCAAAGUUAAUUUAGGACAUGAAUAGAUUGGACUAUUUUCAUUCAAGAGUAGAAUGAAAAUCGAAAUCCGAUUUUUAUAAAACAAACAAUAACUAUCAGAAUCAACAAAUCUCAUUCUGAUUUUGAAGUCUAAAAUAUGUAAAACAAACAUUCUGAUUUUGAAGUCUAAAAUAUGUGAAACAAACAAGUCCUAACAGUUGCCAUCCACUCACUCAAAAGUGUCCCCCAAAAGAAACAAAAAGAUUCAGAGAAAAAGAAGAGAUAGGUGUAUAACCUAAUCACAACAAACAAAUUAUGCUUUUCAGUUCCAAUUAAUAUGCUCUUGGACAUGUAGAAGAUACUAACAUGUACUACCAAAUUAAUCCGGACAUAAACCAAAAUUAAGGCUAGACCAUGUUUCUUGCACCUAUUCAAAACAUUAAGCACUAUUCCAUGAUCAGAAAACAAAGUUUUCUUUUUUCUUGAAUAUUAAGAUAAUGUAGCAGUUCAGGUAUAUACAGCUAAAUUCCUCAUUGUGAGAAGAGAAUUUGCUGGAAACAAGUUCAGUAAGCAAACAAAACAGUAAUCGCCAGCAACAGCUUCCGCAGGAAAUAGGAAUCCCCUUCUACACCGUUUAGGAGCGCUUGGGAGGAACAUAUUGCACAUUGUUGUCAGCGCAAACAGUCUGAAAUUAUAGCAGAAUAUACGGUUAUUACUUUCUAGAAAUACAUGAAAAGGCAUUGAUUACUGAGGGCGAACAAUUACGAUGAAAAAGCGAACCUGAUAUUCUUCAGGAAGUUCCUCAGAAACUGCAAGAGUGUAGCACCCAGGAAUAAACCUCCCUGUACAUGAUAAAAGAAGUAACAAAAGAUUCAAUUUUGUCUUUGAUUUUCUUUCCUCAAUUUUUACCAAAAUUGAACUCUUUUUUCCACCAGAAUGUACUUUGCUAUGGUCAGUAAUGAGUAUAACUGACAAGCAUGGUAUCAAAAGCUUUGACCUAAAGGCAUUGCAGGAUGUAAUCAACAAAUAUACGACUACAUUAUUUUUUUGCAAUAUAUCACAAUCUUAUUCAGAUCCAACACAAAUAUCACAAAAUUCACUCUAAUUACUCUUAUGAUUGUCAAAAGCUACAGUUUAGAUGCACGUACCAUAAUAACAGGUUCACAACUUUUGAAAGGGCAGCUAAAAUUAAGGUAUUCACAAAUAAGGAGGAAGAAUCGAGUAGUGUCAGUAUCAUGUCUAAACAGAGAUUUUCAUCUGAUGGCUUAUAUAAGAAAGAAGCAAAAUAGUAUAUAAAGAAGCAAUCGCUAUAUCUGCUAGGAAUAGGGUGUUAAGUUUAAUUUAGAACAAAGCAACGUUCCAAAAUAUACAAUGCGGUAUCCAUGCAACUCCCCACCGCAUAGCGCAUAUGCGGUAAUGCAAGCGCAUAUGUGGAUGCACAUGUGGUCUAACUAUUAAAGUAUUCAAAAAUAUUUAUAGGUAUUAAAAAUAUAUAUAAAUGCUUCCUAACAGAGCUAACUAACUAAAGUACUAAUUCAGAAUUCACAAAUUAAAAUAAUUAAUUUCAAGCAACAGACCUGAUAUACACACAUAUACCACUAAACUAAUAAUCAGCAAUUUACUCUUAAUUAUUAAAUAGAGAAACUGAUAUAAUUUCGACGCAAAUCAUAAAAAAUGUCAAACAAAAACCAAUAUUCUAAAAAGCACUAUGCUAAACUUUUAUUAUUAAUAGUAAUAAUUUUUUCAGUAAAGUAUCAUUCACGUCAUCUGACAAGACAACACUUAAAAAAUAUAUAUAAUAACAUGAAACAACUAAAAAAGUUUUUCACUAAUAUUUAUAAACACAUUUAUUAGAUAUUAGAAAUAAUACAUACUAAAAUGAGAAGAGAGAUAGUUAGGUUAUAUUUAUAUAAAGAUAAUUGGAUUUAUAUGCAUUAUUAUUAACUAAACUUAAAUGAAAAUAGAUAUACAUAUGUAUAAUCAUCAGCCAAACAAUCUCACUCAACAUUGCUUUGUAAUCCCAUCUAAAAAAAAAUUGUUGCAUAUGCAGCAGCAUAUGUGGUCACCUGCCACAUAUGUUGUCGCUACCACAUUGCAGCCGCGUAUCGGCGUAUGAGGUCGCCAGGCUCAUAUGAGGUCGCCUGCGGCAUAUGGGAUGUGUAUGCAGUCGAACCACAUAUUGCAGAGAUAUGUGGUGCGGUUGAUGGUCCGCACCGCAUAUGCGGCUGUUUGGAACAUUGAAACAAAGUUCAGAAGAAAUACUGAUGUUAGAUAUUCACUACUGGCUUUUAUCAAAUAUUCUUCCACCAUUAAUUUCACACACUUUUAAAAAGGACACAAGGAUUCAUCAGUGCUUAAAUGACACCCCUAAACCCUAAACCCUAAAAAUCAUACCCACCCAGCCCCGAAAAAAAAGAUUCUAUUUGUGACUUAUGGAAGUUUAGAUGCAUCCAGAUUAUUGUAAAUGCCUCCAUUUUGUGUAGUCAAUAAUAGAAAGGUAUUGGAAAAGCAGCUAAAAAUAAAUGAAAGCUUAUAAAACAAGAGCUGAUAAUAGGUAAUACAAGUCGCACUUAUAUCAAAAAUUUAAGAUGCAUAAAUUAGUCUAAAGUGGAUGGAAGAAUCAAAACUAAAUAGGACAAAAACAAGCACCAUAAAUUCUAUGACAUGUCUAAUAUCUGCCUACAUGACACCAAAAUGAAUCAAGAAGCUAUAUCUAACUUUUUACAAGAACGAAGUCCUCUCAGCAAAUACAGGACCUUUCAGUAAAAUCCCAAAUGUUUCCAUCCUUUAGCUACAGCUUUUCCCUUGGAUACAUUUUUGGAACACACUAUAUUACUAAAGAAAUUCAGUUCCUAACAAAUAAUUUUAAAAAUUUUAAAUUUAACUAGCAAGCAUAUGGUAAAAUCAAGAAAUACUAGGUGGAAAAAAAGAGUAUACAAGAGCUACAUCAAAAAUAUCACCGGAAGCCAACAAGAUCACCAUAGCUACUAGUAAAUUAUUUUGAUUCUUCUUAUUUUGUCUAAUUAUCGAUGUUCUGGAACUUCAACGCUCUGUUAAUUAGGAAAUUGUGGUCCGAAUCUAGUUUUUGGUGAAUUUGAUAAUUUGUGAUUUACAAUGGAACCUGUUUGAGAUAUAACUUUUAAUACUAUAAUAUUAUCCUUUCCAUGGUUUUGCAAUCUAACAUAUAUCAUGCCUUUUGACAUCCAGGACAAACAUAUAUACAGUUUAGAGUGGUCCACUAGCCCUACAGUCUUUUAGCUUUUUGGUAUUAAAGAUAUUAAACUGCACAUACUAGGGAAUAACAGUUGCUAGCAAAGAGUUCUAUAACCUGGACAGCUGGACAAAUGAUGAGCUGCUAGUUGGAGGUAGUUGCCUCCCAGCAUUUCCUUCCCUUCAUUUUCUUAAAACUCUUUGAAAUUGAUUAAAAUAUCUUAAUCUAACCAGUCAUAAAUACUGCACAAUGUGUAGAUGGGAUUUGAUUUAACUAUAGGUUAGAUUUCACUACUAGACGUAAAUAGUCGAGGUUUUCAGCUAUUAGGUGUAAAUCGUUGAGAAUUCAAAAUUUUGCUCAUUGAAGAAUAAAGAUUGAUCCCCCCCUCCGCCCCCCCCCCCCCCCCCUCUCUUUCUAAACAUUGAUUUGUUGGCGUUCCUCUCUCUCAUAGAAUCUUUCUUGCCGUAAAUUCCAUUUAUACCUUCUAGUUUCACAUGUAAAAAACUAUGAUUAUAGAUAAAUACACUUACACUGUUUAAAGUUUAGUAGAUAAAAAUCGAGUCAAUAACAGCAAGCCGAAGAAUAAAUAUGAUUGCUUCUCAUUGUAAGCCUUCUUCUUCCAAGUUAUAUUCUCUGCUAUUGAUCUAAGAGUCAAUUUAUAAUCUAUAUCCUCUGAAGAGACAGACUAGGUGAACAUCUAGAAGAACAAUGAAAUAACAAUUUCUCUAUUCUUUGACUUCUUUAUGAUCAUAGUCCUCUAUUUAUACUAUUAUCAUCAUAUAUAGAAAAUGCUUUCAUUAAAUACAUAUUCUUGUGACACCCAAUAAUCCCACAUCGGAUGAGAAGGGGUUUCAUUGGGUUAUAAAGACUUAGACACUAGUAAUAAUAACCGGCUAAAGCAAUUUUUGGCGCCAGGUUUGUUGGCCCAACGAUUUAUUGUUCUGGUAGGGCUGGUCUUACAGUUUGUAUCAAGCCUUCCAAACCAGCAUGACAUGUUGCGAGUCUCGCUGACAGUGGCGAUGACGGACUACGAGACCAGUCUCACAUAGCCUGGUGAUUGGCUGUGUGUGUUUGGACCGUGACGAGACGUCAAGUGGCUUAACGGGUGGAGUCUUACACCCAUUAAUCCCACACGAUGGAAUGGCUUGUCAUGGGUUUAUAAGAACUUAAACAACUAGUAAUAAUAAACUGGCUUAACAUUUGGGCCGGUUGUUGGGCCCAACGAGUUAUUGUUGCUAGUGGGCUGGGUCGUUACACUUGUGCCUCUUCUAAUAUGGUUGAGAAGAUGGUUGAGACUUGAGAAGCCUUGGAAUCGACGAAAGGAAGAUUGCAGAGUUGUGCAAUCUGCUUUGAAAUGUCUACCGAAAUGUCUACCAUAAAGGACUUUAAGGGUCUAUUUGGUUCCUCGAAAAAGUGUGAACAAAGGAUUUCCAAGAAAAAGAAUUUUUAUGGAAAACUCCUUUUCUAAUUUUUCGUCUGUUUGGUUUGAAGGAAAAUAAGCAUUUUUUAAUUUCCAUAUUUCAUGGAAAACUAGCACUUCCGGUUUUCGUAUUUUUUCUAGGAAAACAAAUACAGUAGUUUUCCAUAAAAUAUGAAAAAAAAAACGAUAAAAGCUCAUUUUUCUUAGAACCAAAUAGACGGAAAACUGAAAAAAUGGUUUUUCAUGGAAAACAUUUUUCUCAGAAAACUUUUUCCACUCUUUUCUGACUAACAAAACACCCCCUAAGGAUACAACAUCAUUUUGCUCCACAUACUAGACGCCACUUAACUGGUUCUCCAAACUGGCUUGAAGGGUUCACAAACAGAUUCUAGAGAGCUGAUUCAAGAAGCUAUUAUGGAUUCUCCGAAACUAGUUAAAACCAGUUUCGAAAAAGUUGGUUAACGGUCUCUAGUUAACUAGAUCAGUUUCAACCCUAUCAACAAGUAUAAAAGUUUCAUGGUUAUGUAGUGAUCCUUUCAAUACUUGCGAAUCACAUGAAUUUCAAUUUCUAUAUUAACUGAACUUACUAGAAUGAUUAUGAACAAGUUCUUAAACAUAACUAUUUAAUUAAGCCUAUAGAUAGUAUUCACAUACACUGCAAGGAAAGAUCCAAGCAUGUAACGUACACAAACAGAUUCUAUCGCCAAGUAUUAUAAGCAUAUGAUGUCUUUCAAAGUAAAACUGCCAAGGAAUAGAAGUUACACUAACCAAUUCUCAACCACCGAGCAGCCCAACUCCUGCUCGGAUCCAUUACUGAAAUUAUCCUGCAGAAAAAAUAGAUUCAACUUUUAAUGCUCGUCCCAACAUUUCAACUUGCGCUAAUUCUUUCUCUUGAUAGAGUUCUCUAACACGAUGCUUCAUAAAGAAAAUCUUACAUUAAUUAUCUCAGUAUUUCACGUAUUACAUAUACAAGGGCUCUCACAGGAAAGCAUGACCAUGCAAUGAUAGCACAAACAACAAUAAGAACAUACAUGAGAAAGCUCCACUUGGCCAUAAUAUUGAAAACCAAAAAUCAGUCUCUCACUGCCUUUUCCGAACUUUAAAAAUCGACACACAUAAGACUUCUUUAUUGGGCAUGAAGAAUCACGGCCCUAUCUAUAUUGUUUAAUUUAGUAGCUGGCUAUUUUUAAUGGAAAUAGCUGCUAGCAAAAAGAUUUUUAGAAUCUGUAUGCAUGUUGUGCCUAACUUUAUCUUCAUUAAGUCCUUUGUACUUGCAAAACUUUCUUCACAAAUUCAUAGCGCAAACAGGUUUUCUUUCUCCUAUGGAUUUGACAUUAUGAAUGUCGCAAUAACAGAAUGAAUCGAACUAUAAUUACAUCUUAAUUAAUACUCCACUUAAAUGCAAAUCAAUUGUUCUGAUUACCAAGCAGUUAUUGGUAACAUAUAGUACGUUUAUGACACUAAGGUUGAUGUUGAAGACAUCGAAGCAUAAAAUUUAAGAAGACCCACCCGGUAAAAUUUGGAGUGGUGCAAUUCACGACAUUGUCGUGCUCUUUAUCCAUCUCUAAGAAGGGGCAGUUCUCGCAACCCGAUUCCCUAAACUGCAUCAUAAGUGCAAUACAUAAGAUUUAUAAAAUACAAUAUCAGGCAAACAUAACAGCAACAACUGGAGGAGAAACAAAGGAAUAAAAUCACAAAGCAACAGCAAUUAAAACCUCCAAGUAAAACAUGGACAUUAAGCAAAUCAACAUCCAAAUUCAAGGCAUCUUUAAAAGCCUAAAAUGGCUACAACAAUGAGAUUCAGCAAAAAAAAUGAUGCCCGAUAUCUAGGAAUACCUCUACUCCUGCAGAAACUGGUAAUAUCAGCGUGUUCUCUCCCACGAAAUUAUUGCACGCACCUAGUGAACCGUGUACUAUUAUUCCUAAAAAACUAUUACAAAGGCCUUAAAUCAGAACUUAAUUCAUCGGAUGUGUUUUAUAGCAUUUAAAAGGCCUACAUAUAAAAAAUCAUGGGUAUUGAACGCGAACUUAGUAUGAAUCGAACAACAUCCUUUCGGUCCAUUCUGUACCAUUGAUUUUUUGGACUAUUUGAUGCCUAGGUUAUAGGUUCUCAAAACUUGUGAUUUUCUUUUAUAUAUAUUCAUAGACCUUUGACUGAGACAUUAAUCAUCAAAUAUCGAGUGCAAAGCAUGAGGAUCCAUACACCGGGUGGUAGGUUUUGAAAAGUUCUGGCUUCUUUUUCAAUAUACAUAAGCCCUGCAGAUGUUAUAUAAGUUGCAACCUGAGAAUAAAUUUUGAUUUUUAAACAUUACUCAUCCAAUAUAGAGUGCGAUGCAUGAGAAUAGAUGCACUGCGUGCAGGCAAUAACUUCUGUCCUCUCUCUUGAAGAAAGUCUAAAACCCUAGCUCUCCCCGAUAACCCUAGCUCUCGGAAACUAGAGAAAGGGGAGGACAGACAGACAGACAGACAGAAAGAGGAAGACAGACAGACAGACGGACCUGAUCGUAGGUCUUGACGAGACGGCAGCGGAGGCAAGCACGUAGCUCGUGGCCGAAGCUGGUGGGGAUCUGCGCGAACUGCGCCAUCCUGUCAUCGUCGCCCAUGUAGUCGCCCCUCUUCCCACUUCCCAUGGAUUUAGGCCCUCUCUACCUCUCCCCUCUGCUCGCUCGCUCGCUCGCUCGCGCGCCACUUCCGUUCUUCUCAAUGUCGGUGCUGCGAAAAUGGUCGGCCGACGGGAGGCCAGGCUUGCUCCUCCUCGUUGUGUGGGGCUCAAACUGCGGCUCGCCUGUUGUAGGCGUAAUUGGUUUUUCGGUUGCCGGACUGUCUACUUGGGCUCGAUGUUCGUAAAUAGCCGCUUUGAACUACUAUUGUCUUUCAUAUAUAUAUAUAUAUAUAUAUAUAUAUUUUUUAAAAAAAUUAAUUAUUAUUAUUCAACUCAAGCAGAUAAUUAGCAUAGUAACAUUAUUAUUAGGGGUUUUUUUGCAAAUGGCCUCCUAGGAAAAUUUUAUUUUAAAAUUAGCCCUAACAAAUUUAUAAUUGCAAAAAUGNCAAGCCCUAACAAAUUUAUAAUUAUAAAAAUGGCCCUACCUCUGCCACGCAGGCGCCACGUAGUCGGGCUGGGAGGCUGCAUGGCAAGUUGAAUAUGGUGAAUUAUUCACCGUAUUCAAACACGGUGAAUGGUUUAGCGUGUUUCAUAUUUAUAUUUCCCUUCUUCUUCCUUACUAGGGAUGUCAAUCCUGCGGGUUUUAAAAAUCCAUACCGUUGGAUGAAAAUAUAAGGGAUAAAAAUUAUUAAAUAUUUUAUAUAUUGUAUAAAUAAAUAAAAAUAAAUUAUGUAUAUAUAUAUAAUUUAUUCGGGUUUGGGUUCGGAUAAUAUUUCGGGUAUCCAUACCCAUUGACAUCCCUACUCAUUUGUAUUUUCUUUAGACACGGUAAACCAUUUACCGUGUUUGGACACGGUGAAUGGUUCACCGUGUUCAACUUAACACCCUGACACUAGCUCCGCUCGCGUGGCGCUGACGUUGCGUCUGCGUGCCAGGGUCAGGGCCAAAAGUGCAAAUAUAAAUUUGCUGGGGUAAUUUUUUAAAUAAAUUUUUUCUAGGGGGCUAGAUGCAAAAAAAGCCCUUAUUAUUAUAAAUUAUUAGAUAAUAAAAAUAUUAAAUUAUUAUAAAUUAUGAGGUAUUCUCGUUAUGAAAAUGGUCUAUUGAUAAAAAUAUAUAUUAGUCCAUAACAAUCUCUCACUCAAAGUUAUAAACUAUUUGGACGACUUCAUUGUAAAAGUGCUAAAGGUUAUUAACAAGAGACUGAUAUUUGCCAGAGCAAAAAUUUUUAGAGAUGACGCAGCUAUAAAUUUUUUUCUCCACUUUUUUUUUGUAUCUUUAGGUACCGUUUGGUUUGAGAACAAGUUAUUUUUGUUUAUUUUUUGGAUAGUUAUAGCUUCUGGUAUAGGUAGGAAUUAAUUCAAUUAUGUGUUUGAACGAGAAUUGAAAUAUCUAUAAACCUAUAUGAAGCCACAAUACUUCUUGCCACGUGGCAUAUUAUCCUUCAUUCUCAUUACCCAACCUUAAAUCAAACCACAACUCUUCACCUCCCCGCUUCUCUAAUUAAUGCAAGGUGCAACAUUUAAUUAUAUGCAACUUUAAAUCCAACUUUAAAUCAAACCUUCGUUAGUAAAUUCGCGAAUAAUUCGCGAAUUAUUCGCAAAUUUUUGGAGAAACGAAUUAAUCACCCGUUUACGUAUUUUUCCCAAAAAUUCGGAAAAAAACGUAUUUUUUUCGUCAAAUAUACUGAUUCGCGAAUUAUACGCCCGAAAAAUUCGAUGCUGGGUCUCGAGCGGGCCUCGUGGGUCGUCGGCUCGUCGCUAACCCAAAAAAAAAAAAAAAAAAAAAAAAAAAAAAAAACGCAGAACGCCCGCCUCGCCCAAAAUAGGGGAAAAAAAAAACUUUCGAAAUUCGAAUCGCCUCCCUCGCUCUCCCCAAAACGAAGGUUUUGCCCUAACUUUCUUACCCCUGUCGCCUACCACCGACCCCAGCACCGAUCCCUUUCCUUCCUUCUCUUCCCUUCUGGCCAUUCGCCGAAUGCCAUCGGAAGCCCCCGCGUGGCCACAUCGAAGAUCAAUUUCUUCACUAUUCCGAAAUCAGAACUCUCCAGUCCUUCCUUCCUCAACGAGUCCGCCCGACCUCGCCUACACCCCCGCGCCCCGCCCGACCUCGCCUACGCCUGCGCCGCCGCCACGUCUGCGCAGCUGCGUCUGUGCCGCCGCGUCUGCACCGUCGCGUCUGCGCCGUCUCCGCCCACCUCCUCGCCCCGCCCCUCCUCUCCCUCCUCCUCCUCGGCCUCUCCCAGGCUCUCAGCUUAGAGGUAACCUCUUCGCCCCUCUCCUCUUCUAAUCUCCGAUACCUUUCGCCGCUACUCCGAUCCGGUAAAGGACGCCGUCCUCACCUUGUCCAAUGCUUAAAAUACAGUGAGAAGGUGCAAAUCAGUUGAUUUAUACAUGUUUUCUUCUACUUUUCUUCUACUUUUCUUUUUCCCCCUCUAGUACAAUAAACAAACAAAAUAAUUUGACUUUCAGUAAAAUAAACAAAAAAAAAAUCCAUAAAAAAUACCUGGCCAGUAUUUGUAUUAUAGUAAAACUUGUUUGGAUCCAAAGAAUCUAUUUCAUUGAAUAGUAAUCUAUAUACUAAAAAAAAGAAAAGCUCUGUCUCUAUCUUUCUCAUUCAUAUGGUAAAAAAAACUUGAUUAAAAAGAGGAGUAGGUAACUAGGUAUCUAUUAUUGCAUAUUAUUAUAUCUCAUAACAGCCAAAAAAUGUAAGAGGUUGAUGAAGGGGACAAGCAUAUUACUAUAUCUCAUAAUACCCUGUUCAUUUCUUUACAAACCAGGGACGAAUAAGAGUUUGAAGAUUUCCUGCUCUUAAUAUUUGUCUUAGAUUGUGUCAAGCUCCCAAGAUUUCUUGCUCCCAACCAUCGGAAUCCCCCGUGAGGCCGAGCACCACUCGCAAUCUCCUUCUAAGUUCCGCAGUUCCAUUUUAUCUGGUACAAAACUACAAAUUUAUAGUUUUUAUAAAUAUGAUUGGAAUUAAUAUUUGCUAUUAUAUGCAUGUUAAGUGGCUGUUAUAUGAAUGUUAAGUGCUAUUAUAUGCAUGUUACGUUGAUGUUACUUGUUACGUUCAUUAAUUUGAUUGUUGUUGUACUUGUAUGAAGACUCAGAGCCAAUGAAGUGGAAUUUAUUACUUAAGAGUUAGGUUAUGCUUGAUGCAUGAUUGAUGAGUAAUUCUAAUAUUUUUUUGUUGUGAUUUUAUUUUUUCGAGAAUCCAUGAUAGGCAGUCAUGUGAUAGAGCUUGAAAUAUUUGAGUCAUUAAUUUUUUUAUGCAGAAAAAUGGUUCGAAAGAAAGAUAGGUUUUGGAUUCACUCGGAAGAAUUGAGUGAAAAAUUUAAGUGCAAAUAUUGUUCUAAAGUGUACUCGGGUGGUGUCGCAAGACUCAAAUCCCACUUAUCUCAAGUUUCAGGACGUGAUAUUGAAACAUGUGAUAAAGUACCACCAGAUGUACAACCAGAAGCAUUUAUAGCUGUAUGUGGAGAUUCUAGCAAAAGAGCUAAGAGUAUUGGAAGUACAAAUGUCAAUGAGUCUGGAGAAAGUAUUGCAGUUUCUGGUUCUAGAUCAUUUGGAAGAACUAAUCAAAUGACAAUGCAGGAAGUUUACAAGAAAAAGAACAAAGAAGAAGUUGAUCAGUCUCUUGCUAAGUUUUUUAUAAUGAAUAACAUUUCUUUUAAUGUUGUUCAGUCAGCGUUAUUCCUUGACCUUAUAAAAGAUGUUGCGAAUUAUGGCUCUGGCUAUAAAGUACCAUCAUAUUCAACACUACGAAUAAAAUUGAUUACAAAUGAAAAAAAGGAAGCCGAGACAUAUGUUGGAAAGGUGAAAUCCUCAUGGCAUUUGAGUGGUUGCACCAUUAUGUCAGAUGGUUGGACUGACUUGAAAGGAAAAGCAUUCACUAAUGUCAUUGCAUAUUCACCUGGAGGUGCGAUUUUUAUGAACUCUUUUGAAUGCUCAAAGGAGAGAAAAACUGCUAUGUAUCUUAAAGAUAUUUUAUCAUCUGUAAUUGAAGAUAUUAGGCCAGAUAAUGUUGUCCAACUAAUCACUGACAAUGGUAGUAAUUUUCUAGUAGCAGACGACAUGCUUUUGGGAAAGUAUCCAAGAAUGUACAAAACACGAUGUGUGACACAUGGCUUACAAUUACUCUUAAAAGAUAUAUAUAAGAAUGUUGAAUGGGUGCGAAUCGUGAUUGAUGAGGCGAGGUUGAUUGAAAAUCAUAUGUACAAGCACACCGUUCUCUUGGCAUUGAUGCGAGAAGCUACUCACAAAGAAUUAAAGCAUCCAUGUGCUACAAGAUUUGCUUCAAAUUUUCUUGUGUUGCAAUCACUUGUGGAUGUUGAGAAUGAAUUAAGGCUUUUUGUUGCUUCUGCUGAAUGGAGAGAAAGUAACUUAAACAAAAGUCGGCAAGCAAAGAAAGUAACUGAGCUAGUCCAAAAUAAUGAAUUUUGGAAUAGAGCAAAGGAGGUCCUACAAGCUUUAGAGCCUAUUGUUCGAGUCCUACGUUUAGUUGAUGGUGAGGGAUCUACUUCUGGAUACUUAUAUGAUGCUAUGGAAAGAGCCAAAGAAGCAAUCAAGUGUCGCUUGGGUAAUAAUCAAAAUAAAUUUAUGCGCAUAUGGGAUUUAUUUGAUGAAAGAAGAAAUGGAAAUAUUAUACAUCCUAUACAUGCAGCUGCAGCUCUUCUGAAUCCAGCUUAUAUGUGUCGUGAAGGGUUUAGAGAAAGUCGAGAGAUGAAAGAUGGCAUAGAUUUCAUGUUUGAGAAUCUAAUUCUGCCAGAGGAGAAAGAAGAUUUUUUAAAACAAGUACAACAUUAUCGUUCUAGAUCAACUUUAAUUUUCAAUUCUACGGCGUUGAUGAUGUUAAAAACCUCACAUCCUCGUAAGUUAUGUUCUUUUUAAACUUCUGUAUAAUUUUCUUUAAAUAUCAUUAACUAUUUUUUGUUCUUCAUUACAUGAGUUUGGUAGGAUUAUUGUGGUGAUCCACUUCCAGUGCUAAGAAAAUAUGCAGUUCGUAUUUUAAGCCAACCAUGUAGUUCUUCAUCUUGUAAGAGAAAUUGGAGUGCCUAUGAAACAGCACAAACAAAGAAAAGAAAUAGAUUAUCUUCGGAAAUGUUAGAUAAUCUUGUUUAUACUAGAAUGAAUACAUUAGCAAUGAAAAAGUGGUCCACUUUGGAAUCACAAGAUUUGGAGCCUAUUGAUUUAGAAAAACUUCAUGAACUUUCGGAGUAUAUAGAUAAUGGAAAAGGUGGAGAUGGAGACGACGGCGAAGAAAUUGAAGAAAAUUCAUUAACUAACCUCGACCUUUUGUGGUUAAAUCAAGAGUCGGAGUUCGUUGAUUAUAAUUACUAAAACUUUCUAUGUUGUAUGCUUUAUGUUUAUUCAAGCUUUUAUAUAUGCUUAUAUGUGGAAUUGUGAACUUUAUAUAGUUUUUAUUUGCUUACUGUUUAGACUUUAGAUAUGCUAGUAUGCACUAUGCAAAGUGCAAGUUUUAUCUUGUAUUUUGUUUUCAACUAUGCUUUAUGUGAACCUUCUAUGUAAUGAACCUUCUAUGUAGUUUCCAACUAUGUGAACCUUCUAUAUACUAAACCUUCUAUGUGAACCUUCUAUGUAUUUAGUUUUCCACUAUGCUUGUAUGUGAACCUUCUAUGUUUUAUAUGUUUUAUUUAGUUUCCAGCUAUGUAGUUUCCAACUAUGCUUGUAUGUGAAUCUUCUAUGUUUUAUAUGUUUUAUAUAGUUUCCAACUAUCUUGCUAUUUUUUUUUACUUAAUUAGCUUAAUUUUGUAGCUCUUUAUUCUUUUAUUCUUAAGAAAUAUGAGUAUUUAUGCUAAUAGCAUAAAUUUUGAGAGAAAAAAAACUUAAUUUAAUAGCCGAAUUUUUGAUCCCGAAUUUUUAAUUGGCGAACGUAUAAUAUCCGUAUAAAUCACGUAUCCGAAUAAUUGGCGAGUCCGUUUUUUAGCCGUAUUUUUCAAUAAAUUUAAAAAUUAGAAGACGAAUUUUAUCCGAAUUAUACCCGUACCGAAUUUUUGCCGAAUCCGAAUUUACUAACUAUGAAUCAAACCACAUUCUCCUCUUCUCAACGCCGAACCCUUCACCUCCCCACUAAUCUAAUUACAUGCAAUGUGCAACAUUUAAUUACAUGCACCAUAUUAAUAUUCUAUCAAUGAGUAGGCUUUAUAACUUUAAUCCACUCCCCUCCUCCAUUAAUCUCCUUUUUUUUGAGAGAGAUAGGUAGCACGCUACAGGCUUCGUUUAUUUCAUUUAGAAAUAAACUUAGCUGGAAAUGUGAAUCAACUAGGAUUCGAACUUGGGUCUCGGGUACCAACCACCAAGCCCUUUGCCACUUGCUCUAGGGACGGUCGGUCUCCUCUACACCCUCUCUUUUGUAACUCUUUUGUAUGCACCAUAAAAAAAACAUCAUUGUCUAAUCUCCCACUCCACACUCAUCUCUCUCUUUCUCUCAUUGUGUUAACGAAGAUUAUGAGAAAGAGGAAGAAGAAGAAGAGCCUCUGAAGAACACUGUUUCCUUCGAGAAGUAUCGUCCCGCGAAACCGAGCCGCGACCCAUUGUAAAUAUAAAUUUUAUUAAAAUUUUUAAACUUUGCUACUUUGCUUCUAUUAACUACCCGCUGCAUCACGCGGGUCUCUACACUAGUUUAAAAGAAUAAGAAAAGUUAUGUUUGGUUGAUUGGGUUGGAAUAGUAGAGAUUUAGAAGAAUAAGAAAAGUCACAUUUGGUUGAUUGGGUUGGAAUAGGUUGGUUGAUUGGGUUGGAAUAGUAGGGAUUUAUACGAAUAAGAAAAAUUACAUUUGGUUGAUUGGGUUAGAAUAAUAGGGAUAAGCGUAAUUACGAUUGAAAAUAAAAAUAAUUUAUCUAAAUAAUAAGCAUCUAAGUAUUAGUAAAAUAAUAUUUUAUUAAGUUAAUAAAUAAAUUAAUCAAAAUUAUUUUAUAAAUUAAUUAAAAUUACUAUAUGAGAUAACAAAAAUCAUUUAGUAAAUAACUAUAUGAGAUAAAAAAUAAGUCAAUAUGUUAAUAUUAAUUAAUUAAUUAUUUAUUUAUUUUAGUUAAUAUGUUAAUUAUAUAAAUUAAAAUACUAAUUAUUUAAAUAAUAUAGAUGUUAGUUAAUGAUUGAAUAAGCAUAUCAUAUGGCUAACUAUUUAAUUAGAUAAAUAAUAAUAAAUUAUAAAAUAAAUAUUUAUUAAUUUAAUAAGUUAAAUAAUUAAUUAGUUAAUUAUUUAAAAAAAUUAAUUGCAUUAAUUAAUUAUAACUUAUAAUUGUUUAUAACUUAAUUAAUAUAUUGGAACUACUAUGCUCCCUUUUAACAGGUUAUUCCGGAGUAACCCGUUAAGAGGGGAAUAGUAGUUCUUGGCAAUUUUUAGCACCGUUUGAAAGAAUAAGAGGAAUAAAUUCCUUAUUCUUUCUUUAUCCUUUGAGCCAAACAUAAUUUUUAGGUUAUCCAACACUAUUUUUUAUUUACUUAUUAUACCUUACCAGAGAACGACAAACCCUAUAGCCUUCUUUUAGGCUCCUAUGUCUUCCUCUUCAAAACUAAAUUUUCAAUAAAGGAUAUUAUCAAAUCUUCAUAAAAAUUUUCUGAAUAUAAAGUGUCACAUUUCGUGUGAGACCCCAUAUAGUCCUAUAUAUGAGGUAUAAUAGGGCUAGAACUCUUAACCCGGCUUAAUCAUUUUGGGUAGCGGCUAGGCACAAGAGUUUAAGAGAUCGCGUGCUAGGACGGGAGUAGUCCUAGGAUGAAUGACUCCCUGGAAAGUUGGGGCGUCAUAGUUGGUAUCAGAGCCAAUUACCAGCCGGAAGUGUGAGAUGAAGUACUUGUAAGUCUGAGCCUGACGAGUACGUCAGGGCUUAAAAAAAGGGGGGGGAGAUUGUGAGACCCUAUAUAGUCCUACAUAUGAGAUAUAAUAUGACUAUAACUCUUAACCCAGCUUAAGCAUUUUGGGUGGUAGUUAGGCUCAAAAGGUUAAGAGAGUUAAACGUGCUAGGACGGGAGUAGUCCUAGGAUGGGUGACCCCCUGGGAAGUUGGGGCGUCACAUUUCGUUAUUUUUUGACUAUUGUUACUUCGUGCGACAAAAAUCACCGAGUAAGCAAAUUUUGCUUUUAUUUAGACAAAAUAAUUUAAUACUUUAAGUAGUUUAUAGAAUCGUGUACAAUGCCCAGGCAAAAAUUCAUCAUAAAAAUUUGACUAGUGAAACUAUGGUUCAAGCUUUAUAUGAAGAAAUUGGUAAAGAUGACUUUACAUAUAAUAUCAUGUAUAAUCAAGAUGGUCGUUUUACACACUUUUUUUUUGCACAUUCUAUUUUAAUUAUGUUAACUAAGAACUUCUC